rnacentral:lncRNA from 1 species
UUCAGUCUAGGGUUAUAGUAUGUUGAAUUUUUUUUCAUUUUGGUUGGUGAAGAAAUUGGGGAUCUUUAUUUGGUUCUCUUCAAAGCAUAGGAAAGAAAGAGAAAACAAAAUUAUUUCGAAUAUUUCAAUGAUUUUUAAGGAGUUUUGGGGCUGAAAAUGUGGUUUUUAAUGGCUCGAAAAUUUCUGCAGUUUAGUUGUUAAUUUGGAGACACAUUUUUUGUUUUGAUGUGGGCAUGUUGUAAUCGAAUGUUGUGAGCUUACAGGGGUUUGUGUUGAUUUGCAGAUCUGUCUUGUCUCUAUUUUGUUUGGCAUGAAGUUAAAUCUUCGAUUGGGGUACUUUCUGUUGUGGAGAGAGAAGACUAGCUGUAGGUAAGUAAAAGGCUACUCUGUUUGUGCAGUUCCCUAGUGGACUAUAAGCACUCCUCCACCGAGCUAUUUUUGCUGCAAGGACAUAAUCACUUUCUCACCAAAUUGUGAUUGCAGGCUUCGAGCCAUUGCGCACAGAAGUAUAGUGUAGGAAUCAAAUGAUUCGAGGUUAGAUUAUUGUGAAGAUAUGUGGAUAUUAUUCUUUUCCCUCUUCACUUUGCCAUGGAAUUUAGACCAUUGAUUUGUGUUGAGAAAAUAAAAGAAUCUUUGAUGUCAAAAAACAUGUUAUGAUCUAUUUUAAUUUAUGCUUUUGGAUUCGAAAUGUUUUAAUGUCUACAAUGCUUUGAUUUUAUAUUAUAAGGUUAUUUAGUUCAAUUCUCUCUCAUGAGUUGUAUUUCAAGAAAAAUAAUAGUUUCACAUAUGUUUCCAUUUGCUUGUCCAAUGGUAAACUUUUGUCAUCAUCAAAUAAUUCACAAGUCGUUUUUUGAAUUUGUUUGGAUGUUUGGUUUGGGACAUUCUGAUACAUGGAUUUGCAGUUAAAAUUUUAUUUUUGGUGGUUAAUUCUCUCUCUUUGUUCUUUGCUUUCUUGACUAGAUGAUGACUUUGGACCUGAAAAUUCUACAUUAUAGAAUGUGGGUAAGUGCUAAGUUUUUUAGCUGUCAAAAGACACAUGCAAAGAAAGAAAUUCUGGCUUUGUUAAGAUUUUUCUAAGAAGUUGCAAAAGGUUGUUUUGUUGCAUAGUGUUGAUACGGACAUUUCAAAUUACUUGAGUUUCGGUUGCCAAUGUGCAGAUGAAGAUAAUAAACUUUGUGGUAUUUUCCAACUUAUAGAAAAAUAAGUAGGGAGGAUGUCUUCUGGCUUGAUCACAUACCUUCGGAUUUCGUUGAAGGUUUUUUUUCUGCCUUAACAUAUCUAUAUAUUCUGUUAAAAAAAGUUAAAUUUAAAAUUUAAAAACUAAAAAAAUUGUAUAAAAUAUUAUUAUUAUAUAUAUUGUUCAGUAUAUAAAAAAUGUUUUUAUAUAUUAUAUAACAUAAUACAACAUAUUUCAAAGAAUAUUAUGUUCAUUAAAUAUAAUAUUUUAUUAAAAAUAAUAUUAUAAAAUAUACAUAUCUUAUCCUAUCAACCAAAUAUAAUAUUUGGGUUUGACAACAUAUGAUUUAUAAGUCAUGGGAUUAUGAGUAUGAUGACAUUGUGGAGGGUUAAACUUUUUUAUUACUUAUUUCUAAAUUCUCUUAACAGGUAAUGUUUCUUAAAAUUUGUCUUUUGAAAGGCUUGUAAUCCCUUUUGACUGAUGUAAUGGUAAAUAAUCAAUUCUCCCACCAACAAGAUAAGAAAUUCAAAAUAUUGAAUAUAAUUCAUAAUGCAUUGUAGGGAGAUCAUAUCUCUAUGGAUUCAACCAUUGAUAAGCCUACCUGUUUAGAUUAUUGUCCCUAGCUAUUAGUUUGUAACUCAUCUUUUGUUUUACUUAUUUUCAAUUUUUUAAGGUUUAGAUAGAAUUUCUUUUUUUUUAAAAAAAAAAAAAAAAUCUUUUGAACCAUAACUUGAUUCUCAUUCUUAUUUUUAACCAUUUUUUCAAUGAGAAAUUAGGUCUUCUUGGUGGAAUUGUAGGAAGUGGAUUGAAUCGGGAAAUUUAUUUGGGCCAGAUUGUGUUUCACUUGAGUCUUGAGAGAUGCAGCUAAGUUGACCUAUAAAUAAAAAAGUGGGCAUGUAAACGGGCCAUGCUGGCCCGGGCCAUUCUGGCCCGGGCCAUUCUUAGCUUGGCCUAGUGGGCCUUCGGAAUUGCUCCAACAUGAAUUUCAACAUCAAUUUCAGUUUUUUAAAUUAAUAAUUAUACAUUUGUUUUAACUAUUUAUGACAAACAUUAUCUUUCAAAAAGUAAAUUUCAAUUCAUUUUUAAUAUUUAAAUAAAAAUUAUUACUAUUUUAAUUAUUUGUAUCCAAAUCAUACCCUAUAUAUUUUGAUUUAUCUUACAAUGUUUCAACAUAAUAGGAAAGUGCAAAUAAAAAUACCCCAUUACAAGUACCUUCCAAAAUUUAUUUAAAAUUCAUAGAUUUUUUUUAAAACUUUAAAUAUCAAUAAAAUCGUUGAUUCAUAAUAAUUUCACUUAAAAUUCAUAUAUAUAUAUAUAUGAGGGAAAAAAUUAAAAUCCCUACCCUUCCUAUUUAAUUUUAAGAUUUUUUUUCAACUUCAAAUACAAAUUACAUUGUUUAUUCAAAAUAAUUUCAAUUUUAAUUGUUGGAAAUUAAGAGGUUAUGAUUAUGAAGAAUUGUUGUUCUUAAUUUCCAUUUAUUAUAAGUGUAAUUAAUAUAAAUAAACACUAUUAUUGCUAUUUGAAGUAUAAAAAAAAUUCUUCAAAUUAAAGCAAAUCAAAAAUUUGAAAGGUACGAAGAAUAUGAUGAAUAAUAGUGUUUAUUCCAUAUAUUGUUCAUAUCCUCUCUAAUUUUAUAGUUUUGUUACUUUUAAAUUAUUUUGUUCAUAAUUUUCAUCAAUAUAAAUGUAAUUAGUAUGAAUAAACAUUGUCUUGUUAUUUGCAAUGGAGAAAAAAAUUAUUAAAAUUUUAAAAAAAAAUGCAAAUUUGGAGAUUACGAAAAAUGUGAGAAUUCGUAGUAUUCUUUAAACCUUUUCCAAUUUUGAAGUUUUUACUUUUUACUUUUUAUUUUUCAUCAUUUUCAUUAAUUUUAUUGUUAUUAGUAUAAAUAAACAUUAUUAUUAUUAUUAUUUGAAGUAGAGAAAAAAUUUUAAAAUUAAAACAAAUGUAAAUUUGAAAGUUAUGGGUUUUUACUUUUACUUUUAUUUUAUUUUUCAUAAUUUUCAGGAUAUUAAAUAUCUUAUUAUUAUAAUAAUGUGUUGUUAAUAAUAGAACAUUUUUGUACUCUCUCAUUAUAUAAUGUUAACACUUAUUACCAUGUAUCUUUAAUAAUAGAUUCAUAUUGAUGUAGAAUAUAAUAUAUAAAAGUUUUAUUCAAAUCCAACUUUUUUUUAUUUAUAUAAUAUUAAUAUUUAUUUAAUACAAUUUUAUAUUAAAUAAGUACUAUGUAAUCAAUUAAAAAUAAAACCUUUGGGGAAAAUCAAUGAUAUGUGUAAACAUAAAUUUAUAAUAAAAAUAUAUAAAUAUAAAUUUAUUUAUUCUCGAUAAUACAUGGAUAUAAAUUCAUUAUUAAUUUAUUAAUAUGGAAAGUUAUUGUAAACUCCUUUAUUUAAAAUUUUCUCUAUUAUAUUUUUUAUAAAAUAUUUAAAAAAUUAUAUUAUAUUACACAUAUUGUUUUUAACUAGUAAUAAUAAAAAAGGCAGUAGCAUUGGUCUCAUUUCAUCGCUAUUGAGGGUUCAGAGACAAGCAUUAUUCAAAGUCCCCGGUCACUGACUCGGAGGGUCCCAAGGUAUAUCGAUCUCGGUGUAUCGAUUUGAUAUCAAGCUAUACGUAAAAUAAAAUAAUUAAAAUUUUUAAAAAAUUAUAAAAAUGUUAUGUAAAUUAUAUAAAAAAUAGAUAUAAUUAAAUAAGCUUCAAAAAUUAAUAAAACAAAAUGUGUUCACAUUUAACUCAAAGCUAUUUAUAAUAAUACUAAGAAUUGGGGAUUUAAUUCUCAAUCUGCCAUACAUAUACAUUUAAUUUUUCAUUAAAUCCCAUCACAUACCAUCCAUAUCAUUUUGGGACUCAAUCAUUUAAUUUAAUUUAAUCUGUUUCCAUCAAAUCCUAUCUCAUACCAUCAAUGUAAAUCCAUAGGAAAUACGUUUUCACUUUACCAAUUGGGCUCCCCAUCUCCCACCCUCGCACACAACCGUUGCUGUCAAGACCGCCAGCAGAUGACAUCACCUGCAAUUGCAAAUUUGCAACUAUGCAAGACCUAAAACUAGAGGGGGAGCAAUCUGACUAUGAGGGGUUGCUUGGCCGACGUCGCUGUUGUAAGAUUCAGUUCACUUGGCGAGUUACCACUGCCGACACUAAAGUUUCACCCUCAGGUAAUGCUCAAUUUUAAGGAAAAUAAGGUAAGUAAAUCCUAAAUCAUGCCCUCAUCCUUCGGUGGUUUCUCCUCUUAUUUCCGAACGGGUCAGGGGUUGGGUUUUUUCUUCUUCGUCUUCUUCGAUCUUUUGGGUUAAAAGCUCCAAUUUCAAAAUCAUAGGUGUUUGCUUUUGAAAGGGUAAUCUCUGAUUUUUAUUUUUGAAAAUGUUCUAAUACUUUAUUGUGAUUGGAAAGAAAAAGAGAAAGUUUGAAAUUUUUUUUGUAAUCUAACCAGUCGACCGAGUUAAUCGGAAACUCAGACGAGUCAACCAAGUCUUAUCGAUUCCAUGCCGAGUGUGUGCAUUAUAUCGUAUCAGGUGUCGGUCUCGUCACGGCAGGUGUCGAGCGGAUACGACUCGGUCGAGUUGUACUGGACUCGACCAAUACUUUGAACCCACACGAGCCGCGUUGAAGGAGACUCAAGAGAGUGGUCAACGCCUUGUCCCACUUCCAAUCUCAAUCUUUGUCCCCAUAUCUCGCCAGCGGCAAUCUCUCAUAUUCUCUUGUCAAUCAAUCUCAUUUUUACCUGGGAUUUUUCGAAAUUGCAUUGGAACAUGUUGAGCUUUUUUUCUUUGACUGCGGAAGAAAUUAGGGAUCUUUGUUUGGUUGCCUUCAAAGUUUAGGAAAGAAAGACAAAAUAUACGCUAGAUCGUUGUUUGGUUUUCAAAAUUCUUCUGUUUACUGAUCUUCUGUCUUUUUUGUUUAAUGAAUUUAUAUAUGCUAGAUUAGUAGAAAUUAAAAGGGAGAAUUGUGUUUUGGGCCCAACUAGGCCCAAAAAUUAACAUUUGGUCUAUAUAUCAUGCAUAUUUAAGCCCAAGACUCAAACAAAGUAUGUCUUUCAUUAAUCCCUAAAAUACUCUUAACCCUUACAUAGGCACAACUGAGUGUGAAUUUCAAUUUUUUUAUGUUUUUUUUCCCUUUUCUAUUCCCUAUUAAGUAUUACUCAUUUCUAUAUUUUUUUUUCUUUCAAUCUAUAUUUCUAUUUUAUGUCAAAUAAAAAGCAAUAAUGUUUUUUUGUUUUUCAUUUUUAAAGAUAUUGAAUCUUUUUGCUCUUAUUAUAAGCAAUGAUAAAAAUUUUGGGAUUUUUCAUCCAAAUAUUUUUUAUCUUUUAGUUUAAUUUUCAUUUUUAUUUUAAAUUUAUAUUAGCCUUCAUUUAUAUUUUUCUCUUAUUUUUUUAUAUUUUCUACAUUAACCAUAUUUUAAAAAUUUUAAAAAUUGACUAUCACUUCACUUUAUAUAUAUCCUUUUAGCUUUUUAAUUUUUAAUGUUUUUAUUUUAAAUUUUUUAAAAAGAUAAAUUUAUUGAAAAAAAUAACUAAGAUAUGAAGUUCUAAUAUUAUAUUAAUAAUUUUUCUUAUCUAGAGAGACUAAUGCAAAGUAUUUUGAUUCACAACAAGAAAAUUGUCAAUACAAUUUUUUAGUUAAACUUUAGAAAUUAAAUUUCAAAUAAAAUAUAUUAUAUAAAAUUUUAUCUAAAAAUUAUUGAAAGUGGUAUUUAAUUUUUUUUAUUGACUUUCAAACUUAUCUAAUUUUUUACUUGAAAUGUAAUAGAACAUGUUUACAAAAAAAAUUAGUUUUUCAUUUUUUAAAUAAAUGAGUAUAAAUAUAUUAAAAGAAUUAAAGAUAAUCUUAGUAAAAAAUUUGAUAAAUAUGAUUAUACUUUUAAAUAUAGAUUCAUUUGGAUAAAAUUUCACAAAAAAAUAAAAAAAAUAGUGAAAAGAAAGAACAUUGCUAAAACUACAAAAACAAAAUAUGCAAUUACAAAAUUUUGAUGAUGAAAUUUAAAAAUAAAAUUCGAAACAAUUCUUGAGUGAAAGAAUUUGAGUGGGAAAAAAAAAUAUUUGAGUGGAAAAAAAUGGGAAAGUUUUUCAAAAUCACUUGAAAUCCUUAACAAAAAGUAGUCUUGUACACCCUUGUAUAAUUAGUAAAUUUGUCUUGUACAGUUAGUGUAAUACCCUUGUACAAUAACUCAAAUUUCAUACAUCAUCUCAUGAAUAUCUGACAAUAGGUCGGUUAACCAUGUUUGCAUUGGUUUGAUUUUAAAAAAGAAGAAAAAAUGUUGUAUAAUUUUGUUUUACUAUCACAAGUGAGGUACCUAUUCAAAUAAUCAUAUACAAGUUAGAUAAAGUGCAUGAAAUGAAUGUUUGCUUAACCAAUGUGUGUAAAGAAUGUCAUUUAUCCUCGUUUAGGGGAAAUAAACAAACAAGUUUUUCAGAAUCACUUGAAAUUCUUCACAAAUAAUAGUUUUGUACACCUUUGUACAGUUAGUAUACUUGUCAUGUACACUUAGUGUAAAUACCUCAUACAAUGACUCAAAUUCCAAAUACCCCCUACUCAAUGUGUAACCAUAGGUAGGUUAACUAUGUUUUCAUUGGUUUGUUUUAAAAAAUAGUGGAAGAUGGAAAAACAAAAUUUUCUCUCAAACAUCAUUAGUGGGAUAAGCAUUUGAAUUAUCAUGUGCGAGUUAAAUAAAAUGUAUAAGAUGAGUGUAUAAUAGAAGAAUGUAUACCUUAAGAGUAUGCAAUCCUUAGAUGACAAGACAAAAAAAAAGUUGUCCAAAAUUGAUUAAAAUCUUUCACAAAAGAUAGUCUUGUAUACCCCUUGUAUAGUUAGAACAUUUGUCUUGUACAAUUAAAACAUUUGCCUUGUCCAAUUGAACAUUUACCUUGUACAGUUAGUAUAACACCCUUAUACAAUGAUGCAAAUUUCAUCCAUAUGCAUACAUUAUGUGCCACAUAUGAUGUGUGAACUAUGUUUCCAAUAGUUUGAUUUUAAAAAAUGAUAUAAAACGUAAAAACAAAAUUUUUCUCUAAACAUCAUUAUUAAGGUAAGUAUUUGAAUUGUUAUAUGCAAGUUAAAUAAAGUACAUGAAAUAAAAGAAUUUGUGGUAGGAGAACGUAUAAUCCUUAGAUGACAAGAAAAAAAAAGUUGUUCAAAAUGUACAUUUUUGUACACCCCUUGUACAAUUAGUGUAAUAACCUUGUAUAAUGGUAUAAAUUUUAUAUAUAUGUAUAAAUUAUAUUCACAUGAGUGUGUAAACUAUGUUCCCAAUAGUUUGACAUUUAAAAUAAUUGAAACAAAUAAAAUGUUAUUUUAUUUUAUUUUCAAUGCAAAAUGUAAUUAAAAAUAAGAUAAAGAAAUUACUUAAAAACUAUUAUUUAAGCCAAGUUUAUUUAUUUAUUUCCUUUUAUUUUUGGAAAUAAAGAAAAAAGAAUAAAAAAUUUAUUUAACCAUAAGAAAUAUGAAAUUAAGAUCAGUUAGAAAAUACCAAAUUUAUUUAUUUAUUUCAUUUUAUUUUUGGAAUUAAAGAAAAAAAAUAAAAAAUUUAUUUAACCAUAAAAAAUAUUGAUAUAAGAUAUGUUAAAAAAUAGAAAUAACCCCAAAUUUAUUUACUUAUUUCAUUUUAUUUAUUUAAAUUAGAAAGUAAUUUAUUUUUAUAGAUUAAAAUGUGCACAAUUGAUUUAUUACUUUGUUAAUUAUGGAUAUAUUAAAAUUUUCUAUUAGACAAAAAAUAAAUAAAGAAAAUAAAAUUAAAAAGAGUAAUAAAUAUAUAUAAUUUAGUUAUUUAAUUAUUUUUCAUGUAAAAGAUAGAUAAUUGAUCAAUUUAUUUGUUUAAUUGUAAACAUACUAUAUUUUAUUUUAUUUUAUUAUUAAAAUAACUAAUGGAAAAAAAUAAAAAUGGAUAAUCAAUGAAUGAAAUUUAAUUCUUUUAUUAUUUUCAUAUAAAAAAUAGUACUAAACAAGGUUUUCAAUUUUUAUUUUUAAAAAUAAUUUUUAUUUUUUAAUUAAAUGUUUUUUCAAAAAGAAAAUAUAAAUCAUAUUACCAUUUUUUUAAAUAGUUUUUGAACAUAAUUUUUCUUUAUUUAUAAUUUAAAAUAGAAAAUAAUGCUGAUUUUUAAUUAUUUAUAAAAAAAAUUUAAAACAAUGAAAAAUCCAAAUUGUUAAAAUAGAAUUAUUAUGGUUGCAUGAAUAGUGGUGCAAUAAAGACAAAAAAAAAAAAUUAUGUAAAAGGUCAUUGGGUAUUUUAGUCCAUCACUAUUUUUUAUUCUUAAAAGGUAAUAUUUAAAAAUUUAAAGGAUAUAUUGGUCUUUUAACACAUCUUACAUCUUUUCCAUCAAUUAUGGAAGUUAUAUGAACCAAAUGUUAAUUUUUGGGUCCAUUUGGGCCCAAAACACAAUUCUCCCAAAUUAAAAUGGGCAUGACACAAGAUUUCCUCAAGGCUGUUAAUCGAUAUCUCUUGGAGUCUGGAGGAAUUUAAAGUGUCUAUGCAAGUAUUUCAUUAGCAAGUGUGUUAUAGAAGGUUGGUUUUUAUUUGUUUCACUCAAUUGUUGUACCUUCUGCACUUCAAUUUCUUGUAAGAAAGUGUAAUUGUAGUAUGAUCCAUCUCUUUUAUUAGGAUUUUUGUAAGUGUUUUUCAAUUUUGGUUGGAUCUUGGAGUGAGAGGUUAGCAUAUUUGGGUUAUGAGAAAAUGUGGGAAGGAAAGUAGAGAGUGAAGUGUCAUAUAUUGAAUUUUCUAUUGUUUGGGAACACAAAAUGCAACUUCUAAAUAUACCUUUUCCUUGGUUCUUUUUUGUGUAAGAAUGGGAAAGAUAAGCACUUGCUAUUAGUUUCUAGUUCCUUAUGUUAAGAGGAUAUUACCGAGAGGUAGUUGGGAGGCCUAGCUAAACAAUAUGCAGAAAAUAUAAUAUGUUUUAUUAGUUCAAUCACAAUUCUAUUAUAUAAAACCAUAUUUGCAAUGAAACAUGUCAUAACCAUGUGGGUAUUCCCGCGAAGAAUAAUCACCAACAAUGUAUAGGGAAAAAGAAAAAGGAAAAAAAAAAAACUCCCAUUAGUCUAAAUAAAACACUUGACACUUUCAAAAUUACAAGAACAACAUAUGUUUUUGCUUAAUCUUUUUUUGCUAAUAACCUCUGAUGGGCCAAACCUACUCUAAACUGGGGGUCGUUGUGCCUCUUGUCCUCCUUCCCUAUUGGUGGUGUUUUGAUUCUUGAUCUUGAACAUGUCAAAGUUAUAAAAUGGUUUAUCCCAAUAGCAUGCUAUUUUCACUAAGAACAUGGUCCAUAUGACAAGAAGAAACCAUCCAAAAUAUGGGAUCAAGAUCAGGAUCAACAAAGUUGCAGCUAUUGUUCCACUUAAGAACCGAACAUGACCCAAAAUAAGGAGAUAUCUUCCAUUAUCUUCAACUUUGACAAUUUCAUCAUGAUUAAGGAUUUCAUAAACCACAACCACCAUGAAAUAUAUAAAUGUUGCAAACAAGGAGAUUCGCAUAACUAUAUUGUGUUGUGAAAAUGGGGAAACAUUCUCAUAUUGGUAUUUUGCAAGGGCAGCUGAACCCAGAAUCGUAAGGAAAGAUAUGAAAGUUGAUGGAGAUCUGUCAUGAAAACAAUAAAUAAAUAAGUAGAAAAUUCGAUUAGAUUUGUGAAAAUAAGAUAUUAGUAGUACUAAUUAAAAAAACUAGAUAAAUAAGAUCAAAUGAAUCAUUUUAUCUAAUUUUAGAGAAUAUUAUUCAGUAUCAUUUAAAUCAAUUAUAAUUUUAAAAUAUUAAAAGUAUAUCUAAAAUAUGAAGAACAACACUUUGUGUUUUAGUAGAUAAAACAUGUAAUAUCCAACAUGUAUAUUUGAAAAACAAAUAAUUGAGAUAAAAAUUUAACCUAAAACUAGAGUUUGAAAAAUUAAGUGCUCACAAGUAGAAGAGCAUUGAGGGAAAAGAGUGAAAUGUCAACGGUGGUAUUAUUUUUAUUGAAACCGAUAUAUGAGAGAAUUUUAAUGGGUUAAGGCAUAUUUUCAAAUAAGUAUAUAUUAAAUGAAGGCACAAAUAUAGGUUAAAUUUAAUUAAUGAAUACUUGUGAUGAAAAUUAGUGAAACAUAAAAGUUGAAGGAAAUGAUUAUUGAAUUAAACAAAUGGGUUGAGUAAGGUAAGAGAAGAGUGAAAACAGAAUGGAGAUGAAUAGAGUAACAAAAUGGAAAAAGGGCAUGAGGCAAAAGCCCAGAAUCAUGUGUAUGGCAUGAUUGGGCAACCAUAAAAUAGAUGCUGUUGCUCGACAUACAUUUAAAAUCGAGCUUUAUCGAUUUUAAAUGUACCAUGGCAGAUAUUGUAGAUGCUGUUGCUCUUGUGAAUAUUGUAGAUGUGGUGUUGCUUAGGGGCCGGGGUGGUUGAAAGCGUUGAAUUUUGAAAUCGAGCUCGAUUUUAAAUGUAUGUCGAGCUUUAUCGAUUUUAAAUGUAUGUCUCCCGUCCAAAUCGAUAAAUUCGAUAUCGCUCCCGUCGGUUAGUUCCGGGGUUCCCGGGGCCAAAUUCUGGGUUGAAUAUUCAAAGGUGGUUGAAAGCUUGCUUGUUAAGAUGAGGAUCAAUCAUCUGAUUGGCUGUUGUACUUGCACUUUUUAAGGGUAUUAAAGUUCUAAUAAAUAUAUAUAAUAUUUUUAAUUUUAAAGCGAUGUGGGAUAAAUAAUUUUCAUUUCUUUUAAAGCCGUAGAUAACACAAUUUCAAAGACAAAAAAAAAAAACCUUAUAUAUCAAAAAAGAAAACUAACUCAAAAAUAAAAAAUAUAUAUUACAAUUUAAAAAUAUAUACAUUUGUUACAAAAGUUUUUAAAAAUAUUUUUCAUAUUUUUAAUUGUUGUUCAUAACAUUUUACAAAAAAUAACUAAAAACACCUAAAAUUUAUUCUAAAUAAAAUCUUGUUCUCAAAACAAUUUUUGUAAAAAACAAUUUUCUGUAAAAUGUUUAUCAAAUUUGUUUCGGGCUUAAAAAUCUAUUUUCCAUUUUAAAGAAUAAAAAACUCAAUAAUGGUUUUCUUAUAUAUAUAUAUAUCACAUGUAUCACAAAUUUAUUCUUUUCAUAUUUUUUAUAUUACCCGUUUUAUAAAAUAAAAAAAGUUUAGUUAAAAAAUUAAAUUUUAAAUUUUAAAACUAAAAAAUUUGUAUAAAAUUUAUUAUAAAAUAAUAUUAUUAUAUGUAUUAUUCAAUAUAUAAAAAAUAUUUGUAUAUACUAUAUAUCAUAAUAUAACAUAUCUCAAAGAAUAUUAUGUUCAUUAAAUAUAAUAUUUUAUUAAAAAUGAUAUUAUAAAAUAUACAUAUCUUAUCUCAUCAACGGAAUAUAACAUUUGGAUUUGACAACAUAUGAUUUGUGGACCAUGGGAUUAUGAGUAUGAUGGCAUUGUGGAAGGUUAAACAUUUUUAAUGUUACUUAUUUGUAAAUUAUCUUAAUAGGUUAUGUUUCUUAAAAUUUUUGUCUUUUGAAAGGCUCGUACAUGUCUCAUAAUCCCUCUUGGCUUAUGCCAUGGAAAAUAAUAACUCCCUCAUCAACAUGAUAAGAAAUUUAAUUAUUGAAUAUAAUUCAUAAUGCAUAGAGAGAUUACAAAUUUUAUGGAUUUAGCAAUUGAUAAGCUUACUUGUUUAGAUUAUUAUCCCUAUCUAGCUAUCCCACUUUUGGAUUUACUUUUGGUGGGCUUAGUUUGUAACUCAUAUUUUGUUUUACUUAUUUUCAAAUUUUUAAGGUUUUGAUAGAUUUUUUUUUUAAAAAAAAAUUUGACCCAUAACUUGAUCCUGUUGUUAUUCUUAUUUUCAAUUAUUUUUUCAAUGAGAAUGUAAAUUAUGUAAUGACAAAUUGGGUCUUUUUUGGAAGAAUUAUAGGAAGUGGAUUGAGUUAGAAAAUUUAUUUGGGCCAAUUUGUGUUUCACUAGAGUCCUAUGAGAUGCAGCUAUGUAGGCCUAUAAUAAAAAAGUAGGCAUGUAAACGGACCGUGCUGGCCAGGCCAUUCUUAGCUUGGUCUAGUAGGCCUUCGGAAUUGCUCCAACGGCUACUCACUUUCCUUGGGUCAUAAGUUGUGCAUUUUUUUUUCCAUCUAAUUUGUAUUAUUUAUAGACUCAGUUUAAAUAUAUAUAUAUAUAUAUAUAUAUAUAUAUAUAUAUAUAUAUAUAUAUAUAUAUAUAUAUAUAUAUAUAUAUAUAUAUAUAUAUAUUUAAAAAAAAAAUUGUUGUUCGUAUAAUGUUUGUCUCUUACAAAAAUUGAAAUUACAAAAUAGGUGAAAUAUAAUUAAAUAAUAAAAAGAAAAAUAAGUGAAACCCAAUAGAUGAAACUUAGUAUGUGAUAAAUUUUGGAAAUGAUACAUUUACUUGAUAAUUAUUUGAAAAAAUAAUUAAAAUUGACUUAUGUUAUCAUAAUAACAAAUAAUAUAUUCAUUUGAAGUUUGAACCUAACAAUCAUAUUCUAAGUGAGUGUCUUAUUUAAUUUAGUCCAUCAUAAGAUGUUUUUAUCUUCGUUAAAAGUAUAUUAUUUGCAUUUGCUGAGAAGUAAAAAGUAUAUUCUAACUAAAAUAUUUAUGCAAGUUAAUUUUAUAACAUAUACAUUCUUCAAUCUCUUAUCAUUCCUAAGAACUUAAUAAUAAAUAUAACAAUUUAAUUCUAUCUUAUGCAUACAACUUGAAAACCAACAUUGCAAGUCUAAAAGUGGCAAACAAAUAUAACAAUCAUAGUACGUUUAGCAUCAUACUUUCUAUUCAUAUGGGGGAGAUAGACUCUAAGCUGGAAGCUCUUGUGACCCCUCUUCUGGGGGAUUAGGAGUCAUGAGUAUGAAUAUGUUCGAUAGUCGAUCACUUGCUUGGAAAAAAAGUUUCUAAUAUAGUUGUUGUAAGUAAUCCCUGAAGAGAAUUUAAAUAGCAUAGGAUCACAUGUUAACAUUUAAGCAUGCAUUUAAUAGCAAAAAUUCAUCCGGUUACUUUGGUUCAUGCCAUGAAAAGCCAUUUCUUCUCCCUCUGAUAUCCAAUAAGCUGCUUUCCCGUUGCGUGAUGGUCCGAGAAUGAGGGAUCAAUGAGCUCUUCCCUUGCCUCCCAAAAUUCAGUCCAAAGUGAAGUGUGUGUGUGUUUGCCGGGAGUGCUCUCCAAAGAGAAGAAAAGAGGAUGCUCUCCAAAAUGCACACACAUAUAUAUAUAUAUAUAUAUAUAUAUAUAUAUAUAUUACACAUUACACACUUUAGUUGGACGACUUGACUUAAUGAGCCAGUCAAGUGAAUUAGGGUGAGCCCAUAAAAAAUCAAACAACAAUAUGUGUCCAGUCCCAUUAUGGACCACAAUGCAAAAAAUAAAUUAAAACUGAUUUAUGAUAUUAUCAAAUUGAUUAUGUAAGUCCACACAUAAAAAUUCCAACAAUUCUUCCACUUGGACUACAUAAUCAAACAUUACAACAUAUACAUAAUCAUAAAUCAAUGUCCUAUAGAAUCUCAUAAAAAACAAAUAAUCAAAAGCAAUCAUAUAUGCUUCAUUGCUUGAUUCAUAGGGAAAUGUACAAUAAUAGCAAUCCUUCCAACAAUAACAUAGUAUUACAAUACCAAAAGUGGCUCCCACUAACUUAAUACAACCUAGGCUUCCAACAACCCCAUUUGAGAUAUAUGUUCCUGAAACGCAAUUAUGGGUAAGCCUUUUGUUAAUGGAUCCACCAACAUACUUUUAGUGGACAUGUGUUCAAUAUCAAUAAGAGACUCUGCCACUUUCUCCUUAACAAAAUAGAACUUUACAUCAAUAUGUUUGGAGUGAGAAAUACUCCUAGUGUUCUCGGAGAAAGCAACAGCUGCGGAAUUAUCACAAAAUAAUUUCAGCGGUCUAGAAAUGGAGUCAACAACUCCCAAAGCUGAAAUAAAAUUCUGCAUCCACAUAGCAUGACGACAAGCCUCAUAACAUGCCACAUACUCUGCCUCCAUAGUUGAGGAUGCUGUAAGUGUCUGCUUGACACUUUUCCAAGAUACAACUCCUCUUGCCAUCAUAAAAAUAUAGUCCGUAGUGGAUUUCUUAUCAUCUAUGCAACCAGAAAAAUCAGCAUCACAAAACCCACAUCAAGCAAGCUGGUACGCUGAUAUGUCAACAUUAAGUCCUUAGUUCCUUGCAAAUACCUAAGGACCUUCUUAGCUGCUUUCCAAUGUUGACUCCCAGGAUUGCUCAAGUACCUUCCCAACAUGCCCACAACAAAAGCAAUAUCAGGGCGUGUACAUACUUGAGCAUACAUAAGGCUACCCACCACAGAUGAAUAAGGAAUGAUCCUCAUUUCCUCUUUCUCAUCAUCAUUUUGAGGACACUGAGCCUUUGAAAACUUAUCACCCUUCACAAUUGGCUCUUUAGUAGAUUUACAGUUGUGCAUAUUGAACCUCUUCAAUAUCUUUUCAAUAUAGGCUCUUUGAGACAAUUUAAGCACUCCAUUAGCCCUAUCACGAAGAAUCUUUAUGCCCAAAACAUAAGAAGCCUCACCAAGAUCCUUCAUGUCAAAAUGGGUUGACAACAUGUGCUUUGUCUCAAUCAACAAGUCAGGAUCAUUUGAUGCGAGUAGUAUAUCAUCAACAUAUAAAACAAGAAAUAUGUAACUACUCCCACUGACCCUCAAAUAUAUGCAUUUGUCAACUGUAUUAUCUUUAAAGCCAUUUUGGGUGAUAAUCUUAUCAAACUUCAGAUACCACUACCUCGAAGCCUGUUUAAGACCAUAAAUGGACUUAUUGAGCUUGCAAACUAAAUCUUCCUUUCCAACUUCUGCAAAACCAGUAGGUUGCUCCAUAUACACCUCCUCAUCCAAAUUACCAUUCAAGAAAGCUAUCUUGACAUCCAUCUGAUGUAGCGCCAAAUCAAAAUGAGCUACUAUGGCCAUAAUCACUCUAAAAGAGUCUUUGGUCGACACAGGUGAGAAGGUUUCUUUGAAAUCAAUUCCUUCUCUUUGACUAUAACCUUUAACCACAAGUCUAGCUUUAUAUCUCUCUAUUUUCCCGCUAGAAUCACGUUUGGUCUUAAAGACCCACUUACACCCAACUGGUUUACAACCAUGUGGCAAUUCAACUAAGUCCUAAACACCAUUCAUAUACAUAGAAUUCAUUUCAUCAUCCAUGGCUUCUUUCCAAGAUAUGAAUUGAGGACAAUGAAUUGCUUCUUUGGUAAGUGACUGGAUCAAAAACAUCAUAACCAUCAUAUUCAUGCUCCUGCAAAUAAACCAUAUAAUCAUCUGAAAUAGCCAGCCUACGAACCCUCUGUGAUCUUCUCAAAGGAACCUCAUUAACAACAGUAUCAUCUACAGGAAGGCUCUGAUUCCACUUGAUCACCAUGCUCUCCUUGAUUAGUGGCUGGCUGUUGGACAAUAGGAACAUCCACAUUUGGAACAUGAGAUGUAGGAAAAGGAAUCACAACAUGUUCUUCUCCAAAAGGUAUCUCACGAGGCACAAAAUUUGGAUCAGCAUUAACUUCAUCCUCAAAAUAUACAGCCCUGUCUGACUCAAUGAUCCUGGUGGUAUGAGAUGGACAAUAAAAUCUGAAACCCCUUGAUCCAAUGUAAUAGCCAACAAAGAAACCACUAAUGGUUUUAGGAUCAAGUUUCUUUGACUGUGGGUUAUAGGGCUAACCUCAGCCUUACAUCCCCAAACAUGGAAAUGGUGAAGACUGGGUUUCUUUCCUGACCAUAGCUCAUAAGGUGUCUUAGGCACAGACUUACUGGGCACUUGAUUCAAAAUAUAUGCCACAGUCCUUAAGGCUUCACCCUACAGAAAUUCUGGUAAAGAGGAAUUGGUCAACAUGCACCUCACCAUAUCUAACAAUGUGUGAUUCCUCCUUUCUGCUACCCCAUUCUGUUGAGGAGUGUCUGACAUUGUAUAUCUCGCAUCAAUGCCACAUUCCAACAUAAACUUAGCAAAUGGUUCAGGAUUCCGUCCAGUCUCAUCAUAUCUCCCAUAAUACUCGCCACCUCUAUCAGACUUCACAACUUUAAUGGGCUUUCCCAACUGCAACUCCACCUUAGCCUUAAAGGCUUUAAACACAUUCAGGGAGUCAGAUUUCUCAUGGAUUAGUUCAACAUAACCAAAUCUAGAGAAAUCAUCAAUAAAAGUGAUGAAAUAUUUAUAACCCCCCAAAGCAAUUGGUGUUAAAGGACCACAUAUAUCUGUGUGGAUCAAGUCUAAAGUACUUCCACACAUAUCAAUCUUCUCCUUUCUGGUCUUUGCUGUUAUCUUCCCCUUUAAGCAAACAACACAAGUUUUGAAGUUUGAGAAGUCAAGAUUAGAAAGCACACCAUCUUUCACCAAUCUCUCUAAUCUUUGCCUAGAAAUAUGACCUAGGCGUUUGUGCCACAACAUGGAAGAACUCAAAUUCAUUCUAGCACGCUUGCAACCAACAACAGAAUUAAUAGAAGAUGAAUCACAUAAUAAACCAUGAUGCAAACUGAGACAAUAAAGAUUUCCAAACAAAACACCAUUGCCAAUUAAGACUGAGUUGCAAAAAAUAUCCACUUUUCCAUCUCCAAAGUGAAAAGAAUAACCAAGUCUAUCCAAAGAAGAUAUAGAAAUCAGAUUCUUCCGAAGUGAGGGUAUGAAAGCCACAUUGUGUAACAACAAAAAACUUUCUGUGAUCAACUUCAGCUUUAUCAUGCCAAAAAAUUCCACUUUCACUUUACUUCCGUCACCCAUAUACACACAUUCUUCAUGCUUUGAUGACUUCCUUCUGUUUGUCAUCUCCUGCAAAGAAUUAGUGACAUGAAUAGUGGCACCAGUAUCUAACCACCAAGAAAUGACAUGAACAUCAACAAUAUUUGUCUCAAUCAUGUUUGCAUUCAAAUUAACCACAACCACAAUUUUACAUUUCUUUUUCUUCUCUAGACAAUUUUUAAAUUUGAAGCAAUCAGCUUGCUUGUGGCCAAUCUUAUGGCAAAAGUUGCACUUCCCCUUGAAUUUCUCACUCUUUGCAGCAUUAGAAGAAGCAAAUGCAUUGGAGGUUCCUUGAUUUGAAUUCCCUUUCCUCUUGAACUGCUUAAAGCCUCCAAAAUUCUUGUGUGGAGGUUUUUUCUUUAUAGUACUGACUUGAUUAGUUACAAGAGCAAGGGAGUGAGUCUCAUUUUUCUUCAAUGAGACUUCAUGUUGCAUUACAAUGGACAUCAACUCCUUCAGAGUCCAUUCUUCCUUCAAGGCAUUGUAAGUCAACUUCAUUGCAUCAAAGGAAACAGGAAGAGACUCAAGUAUCAACCAUUUCAGAAAAUUUUCACCCAACUCCACUUUCAUCUUAUUUGCCUUGUUGAAGUAGUGCCUUAGCUUGAUGAUAUGAUCUCUAACCCCAUUGACUCCAUCAUAUACAGUAGUUGUGAGAAGCUUCAAAUGAGUUGUCAUUUCUGUCUUAUCAAUCUUGGUAUAAUUGGCCUUCACAUAUUCCAAGAAGUCUUUGGCCCUUUCCGUCUUUGGCACGCAUUGUUUGAUAUAUUUAUCCAUAGUGUAUUUCAUCACCAUCAAACAACUCCUGUUGGAGUGCUUCCAUCUUUCAUAAAAUAAUCUUUCAUCUGCAGAGCUCACAUCAGUGGGCUUAUUUGACUCAUCAACCCUCAAAGCCAAGUCCAGAUUUUGCAGUCGAAUGAGUUCAAUAGUCUUCAUCUCAAACUUUUUACCAAGAAUAAUUGUUCUAGCGUAGAUGGAAAUAACAACAAAAGAAGAUAUAAUUGCGUUAUGCUUCUCAAAUGGAGAACACCCAACAUUGUGAGGAAGAAUGCAUAAGCUUGAAAUGCAAUGGAGGAACUUAGUCCUUGCUCUUGCUCACUGCAAUACUAAGAAAAUGAAAUUAUUUUGAGUGUUUAAUUAACAAGUUAUUAAUGAAAUUUAGGAAUGAAACAAGAAAAUGCACAAAGCCUUCUCAAUAAUGAAGGCACAAAUACUGUUAUAAGUGUGACUCAUAAAUUUCUGCCACUUGUUAUCUGAAAUGGUUGGUUAGUUUCUUUUUCUGUUAUUUUCUCUUGUAACCUGAACUAUAUACAGGGAAAGAGAAAGAGAACAGAGAGGAGAGUUUUGAUUUUUUCAGAGAGUGCAUUUCUUGUGUGUAAUUCUGAGACAGCAUUUUUUUUAUUUUUGUGUAAAGAGAGAAAGUGUCAGGAAAAUCAUAUAGAAAACACAGAGCGAAAUGCAAUAAAUUUUUGGCUUGAUAAAGAGAAGCUUUCUUGAACAAGAUCUACCAAAGAAAAACUGAUCUGGAAGACCAGAAAUUGCAACAAGUGGUAUCAGAGCGGUUCAAGAAAUGAGAUCUGCGAAGUUCGAUAUUGAAAAGUUCUCUGGAAAAAGCGACUUCGGUCUCUGGAGAGUCAAGAUGAAAGCCCUUCUGGUUCAACAAGGUCUUCAAGAUGCUUUGAAAGGUGAAAAAGAUCAACCGAAAACCUUAUCAAAAAAGGAGAAAGAAUGACAUUCUUGAAAAGGCACAAGGUGCCAUUAUCCUGAGUCUUGGAGAUAAGGCCCUUAGAGUAGUGUCAAAAGAAACAUCUGCAGCUGCUAUAUGGUUGAAGUUGGAGAAGCUGUACAUGACGAAGUCACUGGCUAAUAGACUCUAUUUGAAACAGAGGCUUUACUCUUUUAGGAUGGCAGAGGGAAAAUCCAAUGAAGAUCAAAUGGAUGAGUUUAACUAGAUUAUUGAUGAUCUUGAAAAUGUAGAUGUCAAGAUGGAAGAGGAAGAUCAGGCAAUAAUACUUCUGAGUGCUCUACCAAAGUCAUACGGACAUUUUGUUGAUGCAAUGUUGUAUGGGAGACAUUGGAGGAGGUUCAGGCAGCACUAAACUCGAAAGAGUUGAAGAAGUUCGAAGUAAUAGAAGAGUCAAAUGGAGAAGGCCUUGCUAGUGGUGAAGCAUUCUUCAAUCAGGAUGAUCUUAGCCUUGGUUGCUGAUAGAAACAUGGAAUUGGAGCAGCUAGAUUUCAAAACAGCAUUCCUACAUCACCAACUGGAAGAGACAGUUUAUAUGCAACAACCUGAGGGGUUUGUGAAGGACAACUUUAUCUUUCUCAAAGGUCUUAUAUUAAGAAAGUGAUUGACAGAUUUGGGAUGAGAUGCUAAACCAGUUUCUACUCCCAUGGUGCAUCAUUUUAAGCUAACAUCAUCUGAGUCUCCAAGUACUGAUGAAGAGGAGAAGUUUAUGGCGAUUUGGCCUAUGCUGUGAGUUUGGUCAGUAGGUUCAUGGGAAACCCGGGGAAGACCCAUUGGAGGCUUUGAAAUGGAUACUAAGGUAUCUAAAGGGAACACAGACAACUUGUCUGAUAUAUAAAGCUGGAAGUAGAGGUGACAAUGCUAAAUGCAAGAAAAUAAGGUAAGGCAUACCUUGCUUCUCUCUCCAUGAAACAGAGUUCUGCUCUCUGCUCUCUGCCUUGGUUUAUUCAUUGGUAUUUCAUGUCAAAGAUUUCAAAGAGCUAGGAUACUGGUUAUGUCAAAGAUGUCAAAGAGCCAGCGUUUCAUGAUACUGCAUUCAUUGGUAUUGGUAGUAGGAUACUGAUACUGCCUUGGUUUAUUCAUUGGUAUGGUUAGUCCGCGUGCGAUAGCGUUUCAUGUCAAUUAGAGGAUAGCGACCUGGGUCCUGGACUUUCAGCGUGACCCUCCAAGUGUCCCUCCACUUCAUUGCCUCCGUGGAGACAUCCUUACACCCUCCAUUUCGUUACCUGUUUUCGAAAUCUUCGUAUCACUUUUCAUUCUCCAAUCCUUAAGGCUAUGUUUGGUUCCCGGAAAAUACUAAGGAAAAAAAAAAAAUGCAAAGGAAAAUGAUUUUUUCAUGUUUGGUUAUCUUAUGAAAAAUAUAAAAGAAAAUCAAAUAUAAUUAAAACUAAUUAAAAAUUUAUGUAUUUUAAAAUUAUUUAAUCUUUAUAUUAAUGAGUUAAAAUAAAUAAAAUGAGUUUGAAGUAAAAAAUAAAAAUAACUUAUCAACUUUUAAUCCAUUUUUUAUUUUUCUUCACUUUUUCUUUCCUUCUAUUUUUCCUUUGUAUUUUCUUUCCCUCGCAUUUUUCCUCAAAUUUUCUGGGAACCAAACAUAGCCAAAAAAUCAAAGUUUUAUUAAAUAUAUAUAAUAUUUUUAGUUUUGAAGCGAUGUGGGAUAAAUAAUUUUUAUUUCUUUUGAAUCACUAAUAUAACAGAAUAUCACAGACAAAAAACCAAAUAUAUAUAUAUAUAAAGCUCAUUCAAAGCAAAAAAAUAAAAUAAAAAAAUUCAUACUAAAAUUUUAAAACUUUUAUAUAAAGAAAUCUCUACACCACCAUAAAAUGUAUUUAUAAAAAAAAUGAAAAUAUCUACCACACUCUAACAAUGUAAACCAUUAACACGUAAUGCUAAUUUAUACAUUAUUUUUAUCAUUAAUAUUUUUUUAUUUUUCAAUUGCUCAAUAUAUCUCCUCUUAAUUGAUGCAAGUUGAGAUAUACUUCUCUUUUACUUUUAACGUCUUUAAUCGUGUAAUUUAAUUUUACUACUUGAAAAUAAUGAUACAUUCAUAAUAAGAUUUAUAUAAUAAAAAACUAAUAUAAACAAGAAAAGAUUUCAUAGUUUAAAAUGUUUUUGAUAAAUAUAAAUUUUUUAUUAAAUUUUAUUAUUAAGUUUUAAAGUUGGAAAAUAAGAUAUGAUUUUUUUAAUUCUAUUAUUUAACAGAAAACUCUCAAAAUAUAUAUUUUUUUAAAUAAAAAAAUUAUUUAAAAUUAUGUGUGAGAGUAUUGUUAUCUAUUUAUUUCUUUUUUCCAUUCUCGUUUUGAUUGUUACCAAACAUUGGUAUAGAAAUAAACAAUCAUUCUAAUCUAAGUAAUCUUACAUUUGUAAGUGUAUUGAAACACAAAAAUUAAAAUCAUUAAAUUCAUUCAUAUUCACAUAUAAAUAAGAAUUGGAAUAAAAUGUUCUUUAUGCCUCAUUUUCAUAUAUCAAAUGUGGCUUUAUAAUAUUGUAUCAUUGAACAUUUUCUUUUUAUUCACAAGAAAGUUGAAGUACAAAAUAAAAACAAAAUGUUAGAAUAUGCUAAAAGUAGUGGUUGAUAAACUAAAAAUUAAAUAUUAAAUUUUAGUGUUUAAUGAUAAAUAAAUAAAGUCUAAAAACUAUUUAUUUUUCAAAUUUUUUCUUUUAUUUAACCACCAUAAUUUUUAAUUGGACCGGGUUCCACGUACUAAAAGCAUAUAUUGGUGGAUGAAGUUAUUAACACUGACCUCACUUGUUCUUACUUCCUAGAAGGAUGAAGGGAAAUAAGAUUUAGAUAAUGUUUGUUUUUUAGUUUUUUGUUGAAAAUAAUUUGCUUUUAGAAUUUACGUUAUUUGUUUUUUUUAUUUGUUUUAUAACUUGUUAUAAAAUUUUUACUAAAUAGAAAAAACCAAAAUAUUUUCAUUUUUUCUAAAUAAAAAAGUAAUAUGUUGAUCUUUCUUUACUUUUUAAUAUUUAAUAGAAUAAAAUAUUAAAAAAACAAACAACCUAAUAUUAGAAUUACCGUUCUACAAUUUUGUGAUGGUUAAGAGAUAAAAAAACACAUAUUUCAAUGAGAUAAAAUAUAAGUCGAUAAAUAUUUCAUUCCCGGUUGAUAUAAGAUAAAUUCUUUUAAAUGAUGUAAACUACUUGGGAAUUUUAUAUAUGAAAAAAGAAAUUAAGAAGAAAAAUAUAACAACCAUUUAAUAUUAUAGUUCUCAAAUAGCUUUUUUAUAAUAGGUUUUUUUUUUUUUUUUUAAUUUCUCAAUUAUUUUUAUCAAAAAAAUUAUUUGAGAACUCAAAUAUGAAAAUAAAAUUUUCAACUUAUGCAUUUAUAUAUAUAUAUAUAAUACAAAUUUUUUUAGAGAAUUCGUCAUAUUUUUAAUUGUGGUAUAUAAUAUUUCAUAAAAAUAAUUUAAAACACCUCAAAUUUAUUUAUUUUUUAAAAAAUUUAAAAAUAUUUUCAAAAUGCUAUUUUCUAUAAAAAAAUUAUUAAAUUUGUUUUUAACUUUAAAAACUACUAUUUAUUUUAAAGAAUAAAUAAAACUCAAAAAUAAUUUUCAAAAUAGGCCAUAAUAUACUAUUUCAAUAUAAAACUUAAUAAUACAAUUAAUUAUUGGAACGUAAAAUCAUAUUUGGGACUAAACCCAAAAGGAAAAUGAUCCAAUUAAUAAACUUUAAAAUGAAAUGAAUGGAUUUCAAUUAACCAAAAAAUUGGUAUAAAAAAAAAAAAAUUUGAGGCGAAAGAAAUUCUUUCCCUAGGAAGGGUGUAGACCCCCUCCCGGGCUAGAGCAAUUUUGCAUUUUUUUUUAUAGGACAGGGAAGACGGCUGAAAGGAUAGAAAAGAAAAGGGUGACAGCGGGGGGGGGAAGUUUUGAGCAGAGAAAAAGGAAAAAAAGGAGAGAUCUGGGAGGAGAGUUUUGCUCUCUUCUGGGCAUUUCUCUUGAAAACAAAAGGGGAGACCAGCUGCAGAGGGCAGAGGAGAGGGAUGGCCAUAAUUUCAGAGGGGCCAUGCCUGCUGAUGAGGCCACAGGAGAAUGGGUGAGAGAGAGAGGAGGGUUUUGAGGUCAGGAGCAAGCUGAGAAAAGGAGGAGGAACCUAGAUCAAGGGGGGACCCGAGGUACGUUCUCUGUUAAUCCCGUAUUUCCAUAUUCUUGGAUGAUUUUUGGCUUGGUUACUCUGUUUUCUUGAUUGGUUUUUGAAAGAAAAACUGGUGAGGUUCACUUCAUCACGUCCAUUACGAGGUGUCUAAGAUCAUUGUUCGCACUUUUGCUUGGGAUAGACUCGAGUUUUUCUUUCCACCUAUAUUCAGCUUAGUGGUUUCCGUGAAAGGAGGCUUGAUUUAGCAAUAUGAUCUUUCUCUUUUCAUGCAUGGCUGUCAUCCUCGCGCACCCUCCUCCACCUUUCUCUUUACGCCACGCCAUGCACCUCAAGCCUUCUCGUUUUAGCAUGGCCAUGCAUGGCCACCUCUUGCCCGUACCCCAACCACCUUCUUCUAUUCUCCAGCAUUUAGAGACGACUAUGGCGGCGAUCGAGGCUCUGAACGACAAGAGCGGCUCCAGCAAGUCCUCUAUCUCCAAGCACAUCGAGUUGGCGCAUGGAGGUCUGCCGGCGGCUCACUCCACCCUGCUGGCGCACCACCUCAACAGGAUGAAGCAGAAUGGCGACCCCGUUAUGGUCAGGAACCACUGCAUGAAGCCUGACCCUAACGCGCCGCCACGGAAGGGUCGCGGCCGUCCUCCCGAGCCCGAGGUUCCUUUUCCUCCAGGAACCGUUCUCACGCCGCCGAGGCCUAGUUGCCAUCCGCUGAAGCCCAGAAACCCAUAUGCUCUGGUCUCUCCGCCGAAGAAGGUUUCCUCCGGAAGUGGAAAGCCACGCGGACGCCCUCCAUAGAAGCCCAAGGUGGGAACUUCGUCGGCUUUAGCGCCGGCGACCGGAGCAGCGAGACCUAGGGGAUGGCCGCCAAAGGCGAAGCCGGCGGUGGUUCCUGUUGGGUGUCGUUUCGAAUAGAGAUGUUGAGUGCUGUAGGAAUGGGUGUCUUUGGGUUUGAAUUAAGGCAUUAAGCCCAGCCGUGGUGGUAAUGGGUCUUGGGUUCACUCUUGGUGACGGGUUUGGGCUUGAGUUGGAGCCCAACCCAAGCAUAUUGAUGAAAGGCCCCAUGCCCCCUAUGCUAGCCACCCUCGUGGCCCAAGUCCAUGUUAAGCUAGCCCACUUGGUUACCUCAAUUUAAAAUGAAACCUCUAUACCUCUAAUCCUUCAAAAAUCCUAUAGCUUAAUUUAAUUUUUCGAUAAUUAAUUCAAAUCUCAUUUUCAUCCAUUAGAAUUUUUUUAUCCCACAUUAUCUAGCUAUUUAAAGUCUAACCCUUUCAAAAAUUCCAUAUCUUAAUUUAAUUUUUCAUUAAUUGGUUUAAGUCUUAUUUUCAUCAAUUGGAUCAUAUAUUCAUCUAGAUAUUUAAAGUCCAACAAUCAUUCAAAGAUCUCAUGUACUAAUUUAAAUUUUCAAUCCUAGAAAUUCCGCUAUUCGUCUAAAUUUUAUUUUUGUUAAUUAGAAUUUUCAUUCCAUAUCUAUUUACUUAUAUAAGGUCCAAUUCUCCAAAAAUCCAAUUUCUGAAUUAAAUCCCAAAAAUUCCACUAUUCAUCUUUAUUCGCCUAAAUAUUAUUCGUAUUCAUUAGUAUUAUAAUCUCAUACCUGACAAUUUAUUCAAAGUCUAAUCCUUAAAAAAAUCCAACGUCCUAAUUUAAUUUUCAAUUAGAAAAAUUCCACUAUUCAUUCUUUUUAUUAGUUUAAACAUCAUUUUUGUUAAUUAGCAUCAUUAUUCCAUAUUUAUUUGUUUAUUUCAAUCGUUAAAGUUCAAUUCUUCAAAAUCAGAUUUCCAAAUUUAACCCUUAGACUAAAAAAUUCCACUAUUUACUUUUAUUCAUUUAAAAAUAUCAUUUUUUUGUUAUCAUUAUUAUAAAUCUCACGUUUACUUAUUUCUUUCUUCUAAAAAUUCUAAUAAUCAAAAUUCAAUUAUUCAAAGAUCCGACUUUCGAACUUAAUUUUCAAAAUCCCACUACUCACUUUCACCCGUUCAAACAUCAUUUUUGUCGGAACCCGAGUUUCAAAUUAAUCUUCCAUCACACAAAUCUCACUAUUCAAUUUCAUUGUUUAAAUAUUAUGUUUGUUAAUUAUCAUUAUUGUUUCUCAUGUAUUUAUUUAUCCUCUUUUAAAAAUCUCAUUCCUUAAAGCCCAAUUCUUCAAGAAUCCAAUGUCCUAAUUAAAUUUUCAAUCCCCAAAAUCCUACUAUUCAUCUUUAUUCGCCUAAAUAUUAUUCUCGUUAACUAGUAUUAUUAUCUCAUGGUCAUCUAUUUAUUUUUACAAUUAAAGUCCAAUUCUUCAAAAACCCAACAUCUAAAUUUAAUUUCCAAUAUCAAAAACUCCACUGUUCACAUUCAACUGUUUAGUAAUUAUUUUCGUUAUUAAUGUCAUCACGUCCAUUUAUUUGUUCACUAACUAGUAUUAUUAUCUCAUGGUCAUCUAUUUAUUUCUACAAUUAAAGUCCAAUUCUUCAAAAACCCAACGUCCAAAUUUAAUUUCCAAUAUCAAAAGCUCCACUGUUCACAUUCAACUGUUUAGUAAUUAUUUUCGUUAUCAAUGUCAUCACGUCCAUUUAUUUGUUCACUUGUUCAUAUAUUAAAGAUCUCAUCUUUAAAUAAUUUCUUAAAUUUUUAAUCUAUAAGUUUAAUCUCUAACCUCUAAAAAUUCUAUCUCUCGUAAUUAUUUACCUAGUCUUUAUUAUUUCACCAUCAUCACUAUCCCAUUUAUUUACUUAUUCGCUCAGCCGCUUAUCCACUCAUUUUAAAUACCGAACUCUCAAAUCAUUUUUCAAAUUCCCCACCUCGUUCAAAUUCAAUUUCUAAAAUUCUCGUUCUCACAUUUAGUUUCUAAAAGUCUGAUCUCCAAAUAAACUCUAAAAUUCCAAAUUUUAAAUAACCUUCGAGAUUCCAUUUUUUUCAAAUAAAUUUCGAAAAUCCAAUUUUCUCUCAAAUAGUUUUAAUUCUGUUUUGGUUUUCAAACAAUCUUCUGCUCCUCUUAAUUAAAAUAAGCAAGACUUUAAUUUUGUAAUUCCAAUUAAUGGAAUUUAUGAAAUUAAUUCAUGCUAAAAUAGAUCGGGCUUUGGUGGGGGCCCCACACACAUGAUUUUAUGAUCGAUUGAUUGACUUGAUUAUCAUACAUGAUUGAUUUAUUAUGCUCUAUGACAUGCUCGAAAUUAUCUCUUAAUUGUACACUAACCUCUCUCUCGAUAGUGCAUGGUGGCUCGUUGCCCAGGUACGCACCUACUUUCACUCUGGUCAUUUUCGGUAUGCAUGUUUAGAUUCUCAUGUGUGCAUGAUCACUCUGAUUAUUCAUUGAUUUCCUCAUCAAUUGCCAUGAUUGCUUCAUUUUAUUAGUAGAGACCCGACUUUAGGGACUUAAAGGGGUGCUACGGUCUGUACCGUACCUUCCCGAUAGGUAACCUGACCCCCGAACCUGAUCCAGUUUUUCGCAGGCCGUCUUUUCCAAAAUAAGGAAUCACACUUAGGGUUUUUCUUUCUUAUUUUUUUUACCCUUUUAAAAAUAAAACAAAAAUAAGUGGCGACUCCAAGUCAUUUGUCUUAAUCAAUAAAAUUAAUUUUCCAAAAUAAAAAGCAAGUUUCGCCAUUGAGUGGGAAACACAUUGAGCCGAAAUGCGGGGUCCACAAAGGGACAAAAAAAAGAAAUUUUUUUCCUUAUUUUAAUCACAUGGUAAAUCAUGACAUUUGUUGUUUGUUUUUAUUUAAUUAAUUUAGUUUUUUUUAUUUAAUAAAAAAAUUAUAAUAAGUUAUGUAAAAAUAGAAAAGCAAAUCAUGUAAAAUUUGAAAAUAAAUUACUUCUGACAAAAAAUAAAAUAAGAACCCAUCAUUUAUUUAAAAUUAUAAAAAUAAUAAAUUAAUUUAACAAAAAUAAAGGGGAUAUAAGUGUUGUGAACUUCUUACUUGGCUUAAAAAUUAAAAGAAUAUAUUAAUUACAUUUUUUUCUUUAAAUUCCUUUAUUAUUCAGCCAUCAAUUAUAAAAUUAAAAUAAACCUAAUUGAGAAGAAAAUUCCAAAAUUUUCUCAAGAAGAAGAAUGAUUCAUCGGAGCAAAAUUCUUUUUUUUUUUUCUCUCUCCCUUCAUUCCAUGCAAAUCACGUUAAAUUGAGAAAAAAAAAAUUAAAAUAUGAUUUUUUAAUUAGGUGUUUUUAUGAAUUUCUUUUAACUUUUUUUAGUAUAUAUUAAGCACGCAGAUUCCAAAUCAAGUAACUAUUAAUGCAAAAAGAAAAAUAUUAAUUUCUAAAAAUAAUUUGAAACUAAAAAAUGAUUCAAUUAAUAUUAGAAAGUUAUGGAACUCAAAAUCAAUCAAAUUAACACUAGAAAGUCACAAACCCAAGUUCAUUUUGAAUGACUUUCCUAAUUUUUUCUACAUACAAUCAUAAUUUUAUGAAUUUUUUCACUAAGUAAAUAAACUUCAAAUUAAACAGAAAUUAAUGCAUUGAAUUUGUUACAAAGUCUAGUAAUUUUAAUAAAUAAUUUUAAAACUCAAAUAAUGAUCUAAUAAAUAUCAUAAAUUUCUAAACAAAAAUUGAUUUGACUCUAUUAUUUUUCUUGAGAACCAUAUUUUUUUUUUCCAAUUUUUCACCCAGAGAAAAUUAAUAUAUUGCUAAUAUUUUGUUGAAAAAUCAGCGAUAGGGAAUUUGGAAUUUUGAUUUAACUAAUAUUAUUUUUUAAAUUAUUUAUAAAAAUGACAUUUUAAAAUCUUUUUUUUGAAAAAGGAUAUAUAUUGCCUUUGAUAUUUUAUUCUUUUCUUAUUUCAGGUAAAAACAUCUUUUCAAAAUGAGAUUUUAGUAUGAGCAUAACUUAUAAGUUUAUACUGAAGUUUGUCUUUUUAAAAUAGCAAUUUUAACAUAAAGCAAAAGGAAAUUUUAGUGUUUAUAAUAAUUUAUACUCAUAUUAUUAUAAUCUCCUUACCAAGAUUAGCUUAAGCAUUAACUAAUCUCUAAUAUUAUUAUUAUUUGACUUUUUCAAAAUCCUCUUUCAUUCUUUCACUUUAUAUUCAAUGUCUUGUCUUAACAUAGUCAUUUGGCUUUGGCAUCUGUGCUGCCGCCUUCAAUUGUUUCCACCGUUGGAUUUAGGCUUUGGUAGGAUUCUUAUCUUUGUUGUCGGUCGCCAGUCACCAUUGUUGACUUCCUGCUGUGGAAAUAGAUAAGGGAAUUGUGAGUGUUUAGCUAGGUUGACAAUUCCGGACAAAAUUCCUAAGUGUCCCCUAACUCGACUUUCCUAUUCCUAUUCGAACUACUUGACUUUGAAGACGAAGACUUUGCUAAGAGGCCGAGGUAUGUAGCCGAGUGUGUGAUGAUUGGAUGUGAAUCAACCCGGUUUUUAAGCUUUAAAUGUGUUAGAAAGUUAGGAGAAAUGGUUUUUGGUGCAAGACUAUCAUUUCCCUGUUUCUGGAUCAAUCCAAGUGUAGGGGUGGAUCAAUCCAACUAAUGUUUUUUUGAUAAAAUCUCAGCCAUUAGAUUAAGGGCUUCUUUUUACACUUUAAAAACCAAUCUUCUCUCAUUUUCUGGGGAGAGUGACUGCAGAAACGUGGAGAGAGCAGCCACACUCCUUGUGUUCUUCAUCUUCUCAUUUUGUUUUCCCAAUUUGGGGUUUUUGAUUGCAAAGAAAAUCCACUUCUCUUAAUGUUUUCCAAACUGGUUUUUAAUGGAUUUUCUUGAGCAACAAAUGGGUUGAUUCCUUCCUUCCUUCAUAUCUCAAUCUCUCAUUCUAUUUGGGUUUGUGCAAAAACCCAUUUUCUUCUUGUGUGGAUUCAAGAAGAGGUCGAGAUUGAGCUUGGUGCGGACUCCAAGUGUGCUCUAAAAGGAGAAGCUGAAAAUUAAGGUACUAGUCAAGUAUUCCGGGAAGGAUUGGUUGGCUUGAGCUAGGUAAAACCUUGUAUUCAGUUUUUAUUCUUCAUAGUGGAGUUUUCAAUCGGUGAUAGGCCCGUGGUUUUUGAUCUCUUCGGAGGUUUUCCACGUUAAAAAUCCGGUGUUCAUUAUGAUUUAUUUUUGAGGAGUGUUGAAGCAUUUGCAUGUGUUUAGCAUUUAUAAAUUGUUAGGAGAGUGUUGAUGCAUACAUUAUUGCUUGUGGAUGUUUUGCUUUGUUGAAAAGUUAUUGGAAGGAAAAAUUCUUGACAUUAAGAUAAUCUAAGGUUAGGUAAUCUUUGUUGGGAGAAAUUUUAAAUUAUUCUACAACACCUAUUCACCCCCCUCUAGGUGUAGUUCAUUAUUGAGAUUCACAUUUUCAAUUGGUAUUAGAGCAGGUUUUUAAAAGAAAAAUCAUUUUCGGUCCUUGAAUCUCAAUCAUGGAACCUCAUCAAGAGGGAGCUUCUAUUGGGAGACCACCAUUUUUAACCGGCGAAAAUUAUUCUCAUUGGAAAGUGAGAAUGCAAUAUUUUCUCAAAAUGCAAAGUGAAAAAGUUUGGAAUGCAGUUGAAUUUGGUUGGUCUCCACCUAAGGUGUUGGAUAGAGAAGGAAGACCAACUAAUGUUAUCAAGCCUAAGUUGGAAUGGGAUAGAGGUGAUAAUGAAGCUAGUGAGAACAAUGCUAGAGCCAUGUAUUCUAUCUUUAAUGCCAUUAGCACGGAUGAAUUUCGUAGGAUAGCCACAUGUACUUCGGCUAAGGAGGCUUGGGAUAUCCUCCAAGUGACUCAUGAAGGCACUAAUGCUGUGAAAGUGUCCAAACUUCAAAUGUUAACCUCUAGGUUUGAGACAAUUAGGAUGGAGGACCAUGAGAACUUUGGAGAGUUCUAUGCAAAACUGAUGGACAUUGUGAAUUCUAGUUUUAAUCUAGGUGAGCCCAUCCCUAAUUCCAAAGUGGUUAAAAAAAUUCUAAGAUCUCUUCCCGAGAUAUUUAGAGCAAAAGUCGCUGCCAUUGAAGAGUCCAAGGAUGUGGAUUCCUUGAAAGUGGGUGAACUUGUGGGUUCACUCCAAACCUUUGAAAUGACUCUUGUAUCACCUAGGAAAGCUAAGGGAAUUGCUUUAAAAGCUAUUAAAGAAGAGUCCCUAAGUUCCGAAAGUGAGGAUGAUGAGAAAAUGUCAGAGGGUGAGCUUACUAAGUUUGCUAAAAAAUUCAAGAAGUACAUGAAAUUCAGAAAAGCCAAGAAAGAAUCAAAUGAUGGUAAAAAAUGGAGGAACUCAAUUGGAAAAGAGAAAAAGAUGGAGAAAGAUGUGAAAAAGGAGUUGAAAAUUGAGUGUUUUAAAUGUGGGGGAAAGGGUCACUAUGCAUUUGAAUGUCCCUCAAAGAAAAAAGACAAGAAAGCCAUGCAAGUUACUUGGAGUGACUCCGAGUCUAAUCAAUCAAGUGAAAAAGAAUCUAAUGGAAGUGAGGAAUGCACUAACUUCAUAGCCUUUGUUGCAAGUGUCAAUGAGGAACCUCUUUUAAAAGAAGCUUCAAGUGAGUCAAGUGAGUCAAGUGACUCCAAUGAUGAUGACAUGAGUUUUGACACAGCAUAUGAGACUUUGUAUAAGGAGUGUUUGAACCUUAAACAAGAACAAGUCAAGUGGAAGGCUUCUAAGAAGAUUUUAACCAAUGAGGUUGAUGUUUUAAAGGGAGAAAAGAAAGCCUUGCUUGAUAAAAUUGCAUUUCUUGAAAAUGAACAUUUGGAAGUGAAGGAAAAAUGUGAUGUGUUGAAAAGUAAAAUUCAAAUGUUCAAGGAUGCGUUAAGUCUUAGGAAGGAAGAGUUACAUCCUAGCUCUAAAAGACUUAAUGAGUUGAUUAAUUCAGGGCGUAAAUCUUUUGAUAAAAGAGGCUUAGGAUUUCUUGGUGAAAAUGCUACUCCAAGUAGUAGUAAAACGGUUUUUGUUAAGCCUUGUAAAUCUCCUAAGAAAACUCAAUCUCAAAUCAAGUUUCAUUGCAAUUAUUGUGGAAAAAUGGGACACACUUUUGAUAGAUGUUAUGCAAGAUUGUUUGAUAAUUUUCAAAGGAGAUUGACCAACCUAAUGAAUGAAUGUCAUGCUUUGAAGAAUAGGUUGUUGAAUGAGAAUAAGAGAGUGUCCAAGAAGAGCUCAAAGAUCUCUCAUAAUGGUGAGUUGAAAGGAAGCACUUUGAAUGAAAAGACAAAACUUUCAAAUGUUAAACAAAUUUGGGUGAAAAAGAAUGAGUUGAAGUGUUUUGUUGUCCAUACUGCACUUAGAGCUAUUGAGUCACACUCAUGGAAUCUUGAUAGUGGAUGUUCACAUCAUAUGACUGGAAAUAAAUCUUUGUUCACUGAAUUUGAUGGAGGAAAUGUGACAUUUGGAGAUGGUAAUAUGGCUAGAGUGAAAGGCAAAGGUACCAUUUGUGCCCCCAACAUUCCUAAUCUUGAAGAGGUCUUAUAUGUUGAAGAUUUAAAGGCUAACUUAAUUAGCAUAAGCCAAAUGUGUGAGAAUGAGUUCAAUGUCCAAUUUUCACAAAAUCUUUGCAAGGUGUUUGACUUGAAUGAUGUUUGUGUGAUGAUUGGCUUGAGAACUUGUGAUAAUUGUUAUGUUGUUAGUCAAAAAUCUCUUUCAUCAUCUUCUCUUGUGUGUGGAAGUUCUAAAAUUGCAUGUGUUAAUCACUUGUUGAAACAUAGAUUGUUGCAAAAUGAAAAAGAACAUCCCAUUGUAAAAGUUAGGAUUGAUAAGGGGAGAAAAUUUGAAGAUGCCAAUGUUGUUGAUAGGUUAAAGAACCAUGUUCUUCAUUCUAGAUCAAAACAUGUGGACAUUAAGCAUCACUUCAUUCAAGACUUGGUAGAAGACAAGAUUGUUUCACUAGAGUUUUUCCUUAUGGAGGGUCAAAUUGCUAACAAUGUUACUAAACCUUUGGAUGUUUCUAGGUUUGAAUCACUUAGGAGCCCCAUAGGUUUAUAUACUCUCUAUUAACUACCUCUAGAACUUGUCUAGGACUUUCUUCUUGAAUAUCUUUGAGUCCUAGGUGUCUUCUCAAGUUCCAAAGUGUCCUUGUGGUGGUGUUCUUUUUGUUUUGGUUUAAUCUUUUCUUCAUUUUUCAUAAAUUUUCAACAUUUGUUGAGUUCAUGAGAGUGACAUGCUUACACUUUUGUUUAAGAGUUAAAUUGACUCUUAAUGAUCUUAAAAGCUUCAAGAUGCUUUUUAUCUCCAUGGCUUGAUUGGUAAACAUGAUAUUGAAUCCUUGCUAUUUUGAUUUGAUUAGAUAAACCUCAAAGGGUUAGCUUCAUUUCUUUUAAGUGAGUAACAACUCAUGGUUGAACCUUAUGAUUACAUAAAUUGUGAGUAAUGUUCUUUAUAGUCUAAAUGCAAACUUAUGUUUAUCUAAUGAGCAUUAAAAAGUGAGUAAAGUCAUCCAGAAUAUCCUUGAGUGUUUAAGAUUAUUCUUCCUUGAUUGUUUGCCCUCUCUUUGAAAUUAAUAAAAAAAAUAAAAAAUAUUAAGUUUCCCAGAAUGGUUAUGGCUCAUUGGCAAUGUUUCAAGAGUUAAAAAGCCUCCAUUGCAAGAGUGGGACAUCCCUUAUGUUGUUAUGUUGUAAAGGCCACCUUAGUGAUCCUCAAAUUUAAAAAAAAAAAAAAGAUCCUAAGAGUGAAGCUCAUGUUUGUGAAAUCAUUUCAAUGCUCAAUGUGAAAAACAAAUGUUGUAUGAAUUUUUUUUGGGGAUGUGAAUAAGCCGUGUUAAACAGAAAUCCGGCCAAGAGAGGUGCAAAUUGACUUCUUGGAAUAUUAUCUUGAAUUUCUCUAGGAAGGAAGUGUGUCUUGAAAAUGAUUUUUUGCUUUAUGGGUGGAUAUAGGUUUAUAAGUGGAAAGAAAUUAACAUUCUCACUAUUUUAUGGUGUCAUGAGUAAGUCUUCUUUGAGCUUAAGCUUCCUUGUUAGAAUGUUGAUAAUCAUUUGUUUUUUAUCUAUUCAUUUGAUAAAUCUGGAAGGUUCUUCAAUCUUUAUGUUUAUUAAUUUUGUCUAAAGUUAAGCUCUUGGUAGCAUUCUUGUUCAAUAUGAAUCAAUUCUAACUCAUUGAUUGAAAGAUAAGUAUGCCAUCCUAUUGAAUCUUAGUUAUGGUGAAUCAAAUUUUCAAUGUUUGGAAAGCUUGUUGGGUUUCGUGUGUUUUUAUUGUAAAUUUUUUGCCUAAGUCAUUUUUCAGUAGGGUGUCGAUCGAUCUGCUGAAUUUGUGGAUCGAUCCACUGUGUGCAUAGUCUUGUGACCGAGAGCCCUUGAACGAUGUGUGGAUCGAUCCACCAAGAUCGAUACCACUUGCUCCAACACUUAGAAAUUUUCGUGAAAAGUUUCUUGCACAGUUUUUUCCACUGAGAGCUCCUGAACGAAACUUGGAUUGAUCCACCAAGAUCGAUACCACUUAUCUCUUAAUAAAAAAUAAAAAAAUUCUUGUUUUGUCCUUGGUUUUGUGAGUUUUUUAAAAGAAGAUAUGAGGGGUAAAAUUGUCAUUCUGUAUAAUAAAAAAAAAAAAUCAAAAUCCCCAAUCUUUAAAAACCUCUCUUCCAUUCUCAAUUGAGCCCUGAUUUCAAAAUAUUUCAAAAAGGGUCUUCAUCUUCUUCUUCUUCUCUUCUUCAUUGCAUAAGCUUCCACCACCAUGGUUGCUGAAAUUUAUUUCUGAUGAAGUCCUCAUCUGUCAUCAUUCUUUUCAACAUUGGAAAUCUCUACAUCAAUGUUUCAUUGGCGCCAUUUCUUUUCCGGAGUGGCUCAUUCACGGGUUUCUUAGUUUAAGCUAUCUUUUUUGGGAACCUUGGGUGUUCAGUUUGUCCAUCUUUCUCUCCACCAUUGGCUUAAUCUAGAUGCUUUCUUUGUGUGGAAUCCUUUUACAACAGAUUUUUUUUGGAGUUUCAUUUUUGCCUUGGAUUGUUUUUGCUUUCUAGCAAUGUUAAUCCUAGGCUUUGUUUACUCAUUGUGAGUGCCCUCUAUACAUUUUCAUGCUUGGAAUCUAUUUUCAUGGUGAUAAAGCAUUUUUUGGAAGUUUUUAAAUGAAACCAUGUGAUGAGAUUUAGGGGGAGUUCCGUAUAUCUUAUGAUGGGAGUUAGGGGGAGAUUCUUGUAUCCUAUAUUUUUUUUGGGAUGUUGAUAUGGAUGCUUGGUAAUAUGUGAAUACUUGAUUUUUGAGUAUUUGACAUUUUGUUGAAAUGUGGAUGUUUGUUGAUUUGGAUGUGAGAUAUUCUGCUAAUUGAAUGGUCAUCCAUUUGUCUUUUUUCUUGGAUAGAAAGGGGGAGAUUGUGGCCUUUUGUCUCUUUCUGGGACAAAAAGGGGAGAGACAUUGUAGUUAUUAUUUUGGUGAUUGGAUAUAUGUGGAUAUCUAUGUGUUAAUUCAUUCAAAUCUUGUGGAAGUGCCUUGGAAUAUGUACAGGUGCUACUAAUGUUUUUCUUAAGAUUUUUUUUGCAGGUAUUGUAGUACCUAGGUUGUGGUUUUGAGUGAGUGAGUGGCUUUGUAUGAGAGUUGGGUGAGGCUUACUUACUUGUACUCAUUCGUGUUGUAAAGGGUUUUGUCCCAGAAUUGCCAAAGGGGGAGAUUGUGAGUGUUUAGCUAGGUUGGCAAUUCCGGACAAAAUUUCUAAGUGUCCCCUAAUUCGGCUUUCCUAUUCCUAUUCGGACUACUUGACUUUGAAGACGAAGACUUUGCUAAGAGGCCGAGGUAUGUAGCCGAGUGUGUGAUGAUUGGAUGUGAAUCAACCCGGUUUUUAAACUUCAAAUGUGUUAGAAAGUUAGGAGAAAUGGUUUUUGGUGCAAGACUGUCAUUUUCCUGUUUCUGGAUCGAUCCAAGUGUAGGGGUGGAUCGAUCCAACUAAUGUUUUUUUAAUAAAAUCUCAACCAUUAGAUUAAGGGCUUCUUUUUACACUUUAAAAACCAAUCUUCUCUCAUUUUCUGGGGAGAGUGACUGCAGAAACGUGGAGAGAGCAGCCACACUCCUUGUGUUCUUCAUCUUCUCAUUUUGUUUUCCCAAUUUGGGGUUUUUGAUUGCAAAGAAAAUCCACUUCUCUUAAUGUUUUCCAAACUGGUUUUUAAUGGAUUUUCUUGAGCAACAAAUGGGUUGAUUCCUUCCUUCCUUCAUAUCUCAAUCUUUUAUUCUAUUUGGGUUUAUGCAAAAACUCAUUUUCUUCUUGUGUGGAUUCAAGAAGAGGUCGAGAUUGAGCUUGGUGUGGACUCCAAGUGUGCUCUAAAAGGAGAAGCUGAAAAUGAAGGUACUAGUCAAGCAUUCCGGGAAGGAUUGGUUGGUUUGAGCUAGGUAAAACCUUGUACUCAGUUUUUAUUCUUCAUAGUGGAGUUUUCAAUCGGUGAUAGGCCCGUGGUUUUUGAUCUCUUCGGAGGUUUUCCACGUUAAAAAUCCGGUGUUCAUUGUCUCUUUCUCUCACUCUAUAUUAUGAUUUAUUUUUGAGGAGUGUUGAAGUAUUUGCAUGUGUUCAGCAUUUAUAAAUUGUUGGGAGAGUGUUGAUGCAUACAUUAUUGCUUGUGGAUGUUUUGCUUUGUUGAAAAGUUAUUGGAAGGAAAAAUUCUUGACAUUAAGAUAAUCUAAGGCUAGGUAAUCUUUGUUAGGAGAAAUUUUAAAUUGUUCUACAACACCUAUUCACCCCCCUCUAGGUGUAGUUCAUUAUUGAGAUUCACAUUUUCAGGAAUCGUCUUAAAUAAGGGAUUUUUGAUUAAAAAAAAGUCUUUUUCAUAAAAUAUUUAUUAGAAUAUGAUAGUUUUGAAACUAUUUCCAAAUAAGUAUAGAUUUGAAAACAGCUUGUGAUUUGAGAUUUGAAAGUCUCACUUAAGAAUCUAAUAUUCAAAAUAGCAAGAUAGUUUGUGAUUUGAGAUUUGAAAGUUUCUUAAUCACAACUAUUAUAGAAUAGACAAAUAUUACAGUUAAGUAGAACAAACAAUGCUUACUAAAGGAGUAGAACCAAAACAAAUUUGAAAAGCUCUUCCAAUCAAAUCGAUGACUCCAUUACACCUAAAUUGUUUGCAAACAUUUAUUUCCCUAUUGGUCUAAAGACAAAAGCAUCCCACAUGAGGUUUUGUCCUCAAUGGAGUUGGGGAUUCGAUCUUUUGAACAAACCAAAAAGACUUCAUCAAGAUGGGCUUAUCGUUAAAGCCUAAACAUUCUAAAAACAUUAUAUCCCAGAUACCUUGACUUAAAACUGCACAUUCUUUGAAACAAUAGGCAUUAGAAGCUUACAAUUCUAAAUUUAAAAAGGACAUCUGAUUUUCUGCCAAACGCAUGGUUAAAAAUAUUGAAUUCAAGCCAAGACAAACCUUAAAAAUCCAACAAGGAAAGGAGUGCCAGAUGGCAACAGAUCACCUCUCUAAACAUCUAUUUCUAAAGGGAAAAUCCUAGACUUCUUUUGCUGUUCCAAGUAACAAGGCCUGGCUAGCCACUUUGGUUAGAUCAGGUAUACUAAAUUCAGGCAGUUUUGACCCUCAAAACAGAACAUAGGUAACCUGUUAUUUAUAUCACUGUGAAAAACCUGUUAUUUAUAUCACUGUGAAAAACAGAACACAUAUCAUAACAGAGAUUCACCCCCACACCUUAAUUUAGAAAACUAGCUCACCCCCCUUUAAGGGUGGUGUGUUGCUGAUCCUCCCUAUAUAAAUCUCUAGUCCUUUUUAAUAUUUGAGACACCAAAUUCCACAACCUACAUUCAGUACUCUCCAAUGGCAUUGUCAUAUAUUCACCUUCACUCGGUUUUCUAUGUCUUUGGUACUAGCAGAUACACUAAUUAACUUUCCAUUUCCUGUGACGCUUGAUUGAUCUACACAUCUAAAUAUAAGUAGUAAUGCUGUAUUAUGUUCUUUAUUCUUCUCAGGUGUUGAUGCGGUGAUUUUCACAUUACAAAAUAGAUGCAGGAAAACUAUAUGGCCAGGGAUCACACCUGGAUCUGGAAAACCUCAACUAAUGGAUGGUGGGCUUGAAUUAAGACCAGGUCAAUCAGUAGAUAUCAAUGCCAGACAAGGGUGGUCAGGCUGUUUUUGGGGUUGCCGUAGCUGUUCAUUUGACAACUCAGGAAAGGGAAGCUGUCACUGGUGAUUGUGGUGGUGUGCUAAAAUGUGCUGGGGCAGGUGGCGCACCACCUGCAACACUUGCAGAGUUUACCCUUGAUAGUAGAUUUUUAUAAUGUUAGCCUAGUUGAUGGAUACAACAUGCCAGUGUCAAUAUUCCCUUCCGGUGGGUCUGGUGAGUGCAAGGCAGUGACAUGUGUUUCAGACUUGAAUCAGAGACGCCCCAAGGACCUGCAAAUUCUAAGGAAUGGUACUGUUGUAGCUUGUAACAGUGCAUGCAUGGCAUUCAACAAACCUGAGUACUGCUGCUCUGGAGCCUACAUGCCACCUGAGACCUGCAAACCAACAGAGUAUUCUAAAGUGUUCAAGGCUUCUUGUCCUACAUCUUAUAGCUAUGCAUAUGAUGACCCAACAAGCACUUUCACAUGCAAAGGAGCUAAUUACUUGAUCAGAUUUUUUAAAAUUUAUUUCUAAGAAGCAAGGAACCCUUAUAUGUACAGAACAUUUGAACAUCAUAUAAGCACAAUCCAAUGAAGAUACGUUUAUACUACAUGUAGGCAAUAUAUUUGGACCUUAUGAAAGUAGAAUGGAUAGAAAUGAAUUCCAGUACACUUGUGAACACAAAGAAAACCCAGAUUCAUGAUUCUUCUUGUUAUGGAUGGAUGGACUAGUUAUGACUUGGGAUUUAUUUAUACAUGCUAGGCACCUAAGGAGUGUAGGACACCGCCAUCUAUACAUGCAUACUUAUCUCUGUUGUUAUUAAUUUUGCUCUGCUUUCCUAAUGAUUAAGAUGUAACUUAUAGGUAGAAUACUGCCAGAAAGCUUUGAACCUCAAACCUCCAAAGUUAUUCAACUAGCCAAGCAACUGCUGAAAGCGAUCUACAUAGUUCAAAACAGAGCACACUAUUCUGCCAAAGAACCUUUUGCAAAGCUUCUUUCUUUCAGGAUGUUUUUCUAUGGUUCCAAUUAAACAACAUUUGAGAAAUUGGAGUUUGGCAUUUUUUUGUCAUUAGUUGGAUUUGGAAAGAGAGUAUUCAUAUCUGACAAGUCAUUGCUUGUGCAUAUAGGGAGGAAAAUAAAUCCUAAUUGUUGUAGUGUUCUUUACCAUUAUGAAGCCAAUUUGAACGAUCCUAAACCACAAUCAUGCAAGAGAGAUAUCUGGAGUAUUUAUAGGGUAAUAUUCCUAAAUCAAAAUGAAGAGAAGGGAGAUGAAAAUGGUUAAUUAAGAUUUAAAACAUGAGAUGCAGUAAUAAUAUAAGUGAAGAGUUUGUCUCUUUUGCAAAGUUGAAAUCAUUCCCUAGUUCGUAUUGGAUUUGGUGCAAUAGAAAUGAACUUGAUUUAGACAAAAUAAUCCAACUUCUGGUCAGAUCACUGAAAAACUGCUAGAAUCUAAGCAAGUCGUGAGAAAAUUCAGUUCUUUGAAGUCGAGAUACCGCCUAUGACUUUUGGGUUAAAACCUAUAAGAUUGUUUGGUGGAUUCCACAUGGUGAGGACUAGUUUAAACUAAAAUCAAUGGGUCAAAAAGAGAGACAAGGUACUAUAGCUGAUUAAUGUAUAAAUGAAUCAUAUUAAUUGUUUGAAGUAACAAGAUUCUGGAAGAAGAGAAACAAAAUGACAAGACCAUAAACAACUUACAGUAAGUAGUGCUCCAAGAUAUCUAUGUGCGUGCCGUCUGAAGAAAUCCGAUGAUGAUCAAGAAGCCAGGUUGUUUUAGAACUUGAGAAACCCAACCAACAGAGACUGCAGUUUCAACCAUAAACAUUGCCAUUGAUCACAAAGCGCUGGAGGUGUCGUGCCUACAAUCACUCAAUUCACAGCCUCCUUAGGCCCUAUCUAAAUGGGAAUGUGUCAUGCACAGAGAUUUGAGGACUUUGCUUCAUAAUGUUUAGAGAUAAUUAUCGGGAGAUGAUCCUUCAGUUUUGAGUUUUUAGUCAUCUUGAACAGAUUAAUGAGCAUUCAAUUGUUCAGCACCCAGGAAUCUACCCUUCAUCUAAUUCCUCCACUGGGAAAACUCUAACAAGAUCUGAACAAUCUAUUCUUUCUUCAGAUUUUACUUCCUUGGAAAAGUCAGCUUCCCAAUCAAGAAAAUCAUCAGGAUUAAUUUGAGCAAAUAUAUCAGAGUAUACAUCAAGCAAGCAUUGAUCAAAAUCAAAAUCCAUGUUUUCAACUGGUUCCUUCUUCUGGGGGCUGGACUGUGGCUUAUUAGCUUAUGUCGAUUUCACAUGCUUCAUGAGAUCUAGAACCUAAGGAUCUGAAGAACCACCAUAUUCUUCUAUUUCCUCUUCCCUGAAUGAAAUGCCUUCUGAACUUGGGUGAUCAAUGGCAACAGACUCCUUAAGCUCUGGUCGAUGACAACAGGGAUUGGCAUCCUUAAUGACAUUGAAAUCAUAGCUAUGUGAAAGGAGGGAAACAUGAAUCAGAGGGUGCUCCAGAAUAACUAAAUUGGCUAAUUGCUGUCUUAUUGGAGCUCUUAUAUCCAACUCACGGAAUGGUGACCUGGGGUCCUGCAGUGACAUGGAAGGAUUAGAUUUUUUUUCAGAUAUAAAUUUUUUUACUUGUUCACAAGGGGAAAAAAUGUUUUGAUAGUGGUUUUUUUUUUUUUUAAUACUAUAAAGAGAGGAAAGUUAUAUACAAGGAAAUGUUAUAGAUAGAAAAUAUUUGAGUAGACAUCAGGUAAUGGCUGGAGUUCAGGUGGGAAUAGUAGAAAAUUCUUUUCAUAGGUAACAUGGGUGUAGUAGAAUUAAAGGAAAAACAGAAACCCAAAUGGGACAAUCAUCAAUAACCCAAUUCAGUCCCAACCCAGGAUGCUCAUUUCCCAAAUCCAGGGGAAAAAAAAUGUAAAUUCAGGUAUUUUCAUAUGGACCAGUUAGGUGACCAACUAUUUUACGCACCAUAAACCAUUAUUGGAACCAGAGAACCAGAGAGACAAGUAUAAUUUUUUGGUUGGCAAUGCACUGCAUGUUGCAAGUUGAGCAAACCUAGCCUCUCAAUUUCAAAGAUUUCAGCAGCAGUGCCUAGCAUAAAUGAACCAUCUCCAAAGAGGAUGAACAAUAAACCACAAUAAAAAAAGAGUGGCCCAAUUAGCAAAUAGUGCAUGGAUGAUGUCCUAUACCUUAGCUGGCAUUUUGGCUCAUGGCCUCAACACUAGCUCAAUGUAAUCUAACAAUAAAGCUGGGUUCAGCACAGUUGGAUUCCUAAACAAGUUGCCCCAGCUCCACAAGGGCCAAGACAAUCCAGUAUGUUAUAUUUCUAUGGAAGCACAAGAAACCUUUUUAAGGCUUAAAAUUGGUGCCACGGGUAUCUACAAUCAACAACUAUAAAUCAGCAAGGAAAAGGAAAUACCCUCAGAUAUUAACGAAUGAAAAUUUUGAGACAGUCCAGCUGCUGUGCACAGAACGGCUUGAGCUUAUGAUUCCAUGCCCCAGGCUUUAGAUGGUUCUCAAUUACAGAUGAGAGGGUUGAGUUUUCAUUUAUUCAGUAAUAACAUUAAAUGAAUCAAUGAAACAAUAAAAUUUGAUAGACUAGGAAGACUAUGAUAAAAGCUCUACUGAAGAUAAGAAUAGGUAAGAGAGCUCACCCGUGGUCGAGUAAACAAUGUCUGUUGAAUGAAACCACCAUUCAAUCGUCCAAGUAAUGCAUUUAUCUCUAGUAAAAAAUAUAUGAAAAUGGUAAUGCUAGGAACUGGAAAAUAAAAAAUAAAAUAAAAAAUCUCAAUUUAUUUAAAAAUUAAAAAAAAUAAAGGCCAAAGACAGUUCAUUGAGUUCAAAAACUAGUUUGACUACUAAUUUUUUAAAUAACAGUGAUAUGAAAAAAAAAAAAAAAAGCUAGAAAAUAGAAACUCCAUGUAAAACAUAAAUCAUAUCAAAUUCAACUAACAAACAACCCAUAAGUAGACAUGUAGUAAUCUUCCUUCAAACUAAAGACAACUAGUUAUCUCAUGAAUACUUGAUUACCUUAGGUUGCAUUGAGAUUUAUUUUUCUCUCUCUUUGACAUUCCACUGGGGAGAAAUAGGAGUUUGUCCUGUGACUCUGUGCAGCAUUCCUAAGGCCUUGGAGAUGGGAUGGAAUCUUAAAAUGAGAAUACCCUAACAAAUUAACUCUUGUUCUCUGAGCAGAUUCUGCGACCCUCUUCACUUCCUCGAGCAAAUUAUAAUCUACCCAAAAAUAAAUAAAUAAAUAAAACUGCAAAAAGGGUAAGUGAAAUCUGAAGACAACACAACAAACUUCCUCAACAAUAUUAUAAUUUACCCAUAAUUAAGAACUCAAAAUCUUGAAAUGAAUACCAAAAUCUGAGGAAAAAGUGGCAACCUUCUUCACUUCACAUAAAUUAACAAUCAACCCAUGAAAAAACCUAAAUUUGUAUCCGAACUUUGAAAUUUGAAGACAAAACAUUCAACUUCCUCAAGCCAAUUACAAAUCACAUAAUACUACAUAGAAAAACCUUCAAAGCAGCCAAAAGGUAUGAAAUUUUUUUAUUAAAUUAAAACAUACCUGUAAAGGAAUGGACAAACCAGAAAAAGAAAACACUGUAUUAUGAAGACCAAAUAGCAAAAUUCCUCAAGCUAAUUACAAUACACCAUUACUGAACAUCUUCAAAAUGGUGAAACUUAUCAAACUUACCAGGAAAAAAAAAACGGUAAACUUCCUCAAUGGUGACCACAAUCCACUCAUGACAAACCCUCAGAAUAGCCAAAUGGGUAUUGAAAUUUGAUAAUAAAGAACAAAAUUGGGAGAAAUAAAAUACCAGAUAAGAGGAGAUUAUCGUCAAAUUGAGAGAGGGGAAUGAACUGGGUCCGCUGGCUCCUGACCGUACACCCCAGUGUGUUGCUUGUGAGCUUUCACACAAGGAAGACUACAGGAGCGCACAAAGCAACCUGGGCGUGUGUACUUUGAUAGAUUCAAUUUGUUCUCCUUGCACAGAGGUGGGAGUUUAGGGUUUUGGGCUGUUGCAGAUGAGUCUUCUCGUUCUUCCAAGGGAGGAAGGCUGAGGGCUUUAAGCUAUGUUUUCAUAAUAACUAGCUGUUGGAUGGGAAAAGGAAAGGACAACUAUGUUUAAGGGGUUUAUCAGCCGAACCUGAAAAUUCCCAUAUAUACUUAAGAGAUUCAAGAAAAAUAAACAUACUUUAUGAAUAAGUUUGGGCGAAAGUUUAGGAUGAAAAAAAAUUGUUUUUUCUCACUUUCUUUAUUAGAAUAAGAGCUAAGAUUUUGGAUUUUUUUUUCAUUCAAAUGAAAACGUCUAAUAAAAAAUAUAAGUUGAAAAAAAAAGCCAAAAAAAAGAGGAAAGAAGGAAAAAGGUAAUUUGCUUUCAAAUUUAAGUCCCAAAAGAAAAUAAACAAUCCCUAUGUUUGGAUUGAAAAUUUUCAAGACAAGAAAUAAAAUAUUUAUAUAUAUUUUUUAAUUUAAUUUUUUUAAUUCUCUUUAGAAAAGUCAUAAAAAGAAAACUAAAUUACUUAAAAAAAAAAAAAAAAACCCUCAUACAAAUUGAAAGGUGAAUCUCAAUAAUGAACUACACCUAAUGGAGAAGGGUGGAUGGUGAAUACGUGUUGUUGAACAAUUUAAAAAUCUCCCAAUAAAAAUUACCUAAUUUUAAAAUUUUUUACAAAUCUUCGCUUUCCUCUUCAAACAUUUUGCAACACAAAGUAAAUGUCACAUACAAAAAUGGAUGUAACAAUACUCUCCCAACAAAUUCAAAUGCAAGUCACAUGUAAAUGUUUUAACACUCCCCAAUAUUAAUUCAUAAAAACAAUAAUUUCCUUAACUCAUUUCCAAUAACUACAAGAUAUCAAUAACCAAAAUGAAGAGAAAAAUUAUUUAUGAUAUUCAAUGGAUAAUCGCACCUAUUUCAAUUCAUUUUUUUUCUUUCAUUCAACAUAUAUGCCCAAGUAAAUAAUAAUAUCAAAAAUUGAAAAUAAAUCAAAGAGUAAAAUGAGAGAAAAAGACAAUUGACACAGAUUUUAAUGUGGAAAACCUCCGAAGAGAUAAAAAAACUACGGAGCUACAACUAAUUGAAAACAUCCACUAUGAAGAAUAAAAACUAAAUACAAAGUUUUACCUAACUCAAUCCUAUCAAUCAUUCCCAGACCAUUUGACUAAUACCUUCCACUUUUAGCUUCUCACCUUCUUCUUUCGAAGCACACUUGGAGUCCAUACCAAGUUCGAUCUCGGCCUCUUCUUAAAUCCACACAAAAAGAGAAUAAGUUUUUUUUUUUUUUUUUUUACCCAAAUCUAAAUAGACUAGAAAUUGAGAGAUGAAUGAAUAAAAAAUCAACCUAUUUUUUCCUUAAGAAAAUCCAUUGAAAACAAUGGAAAAGUUGGAUUUUCUUGACAACCAAACACCCCAAAAUAGGAUAGCAGAAGGAACCAAAGGGGGUGACUAUUGUCUCUCAUCUUUUGAACAAGAAACAAAUUUUGGGUUUUUAAAUGAAGGAGCCCUUAUCCAACGGAUGAGAUUUCAUAAAAAAAGUGUAAGUUGGAUCGAUUCGAUUUAAAGCUAAACCAAUCAUGGAACAGAGCAUUUUGAAUACUUAGUAAAAAAAAUACUUCCUAAACAUUCGUAACAUUUUAAAAAUAUUUUAAGUAAAACAAUAUUUAAAUAAAAUGGUUGAUUCAAUUUCAUCCAACUCCAACCUCAACUACAAGCCUUGGUUUCUUAACAAGUUUAAUAAAUUGAUCUCUAUUAGCUAAGUAAUCUGUUGAAGGAUUAGAAAAUUUGAGUUGGAAGAAAAUUAAAAAUUGUGUCUGGAAUUGUAAAUCCAACUAAAUACUCACAAUCUGAUUUUCAACUUGGAGAAACUAACUCUAAACUGGAGGCUCCUCUACCGAUGUGGACUCACCAGUCGUGGGUAUGCCAAAUAAAUUGGAAAUUUGACUACUUGCUUGGUAAAGAAGAUGGUGAUAUUGUUGCCACAAGUUGUCUCAUGUCACCCUUGCUGCGAGGAAGACCCAUAAAAAUACGUAGGCUUGAAAUGCAAUUGAGGAAGUUAUCCUUGCUCUUGGUCACUGUGAUGCCAAGAAAAUGAAGUUACUUUGAUUCAUAAUCACAUUUAAUUAUAUGAAUGUUAAAUUGACAAGUUAUUAAUGUUAAACAAAUGCUUUUGUCAUAAUAAUUUUUUAUAACCAGGUUUUGUGAUCAUUUUGAGCUUUGAAGCUAGAAAUCAAGGUUCGGAAAAAACCGCAAGGAAUAUUGGUUUGAUUUUAUGGAUAUAAAAAAUAUCAAUAAACAAAAAUUAAUCAAAAUUAAUAAAAUAAAAAAAUUGGAACAACUCUAAAAAUAUAGAAGAAUUAAUAAUAUACAUAUAUGAUAUAAUUUGUUAUAUUUUAUAAUAAUAUUUAGUAUAUUAAUAAAAAUUAUAAAUUUUUUAAAUAUAUACUCAAUAUUAACCUACAUUACGCAUUUAAUUUUAUUAAAUGAUAUUUCAAUAAUUUAUAUACAUUUUGUUUAAUAAAAUUUGAAAAAUAAAAUAAUUAAAAUUAAUGAAUUUAUAAAAAAAAAUAAUAUUUUUUAAUGAAUUUAUAUAUAUAUAUAUAUAUAUAUAUAUAUAUAAUAUUUGAUGGCAUUACACUCUUGCACCUGAGAGAACCACACAGGCCGAAAAAUUCAGGAAAAAAAAAACCGAAAAAUUGAAAUACGAGCGACAAGCCGAAAAAUCCCGAAAUUUUUUUAUGUCGGGGAUAUAUCCCCAAAUAUGGGCCGACAUUUUUCUCCUUGUUCUCAAUAACGAGAAACAGAAUGACACACAAGAUCAUCGAACAAAUCAUUCUACCGACUCAAGAAAAAUUAACAGCUGAUUUUAAUCAGGAUAUAUAUAAACACCCACGGACGCUAACAUUGAUUACCUUAAAAGUAGAAAAUGUGAAAGAAAAUGCUUCUCUUCUUCUUCUUCUUCAACACCAGAAAAACUAGACUUUGAAAAUUAGCUUUUUAUAAGAGACGUAGUUAUAUGCAUAUAUAGAGUAGAAACUUGAACAGUAUUCUGUUCUUCCCUAAAUCAAAAGUUUUCAAAUCCAGCUUUGAAAAGAUGCAUGAUCAUAGGCACAUAUACACACAUGGACUAGAAAUUGAACACAUUAACCUUACCUGCGAUUCUGCGGCUCCAUAGUGGGUUCCAUCUCUGUUGGUGAGUACUCGCCUCUGGUUCUUACUUUCUUAGGAAGCGUGGGUUUAUCGGUCCACUUGUAGCGAGUAGCAGGCAGCGAGUAGAGAGAGACUUACCGCCGGUUCUUAUUCAGUGUCCUCUGGUUCUUGCUCUCUUAGAAAGUGUGCGUUUAUUGGUCCAUCUUUUAACCAAUAAGAAAAGUACACGUAUAAAGUUCACUGAAUGAAAAAUUAAAAGCUACCAAUUAAAAAAAAAAAAAUAAUCACAUGCACGUCACAUUUAAGUUAUUUUUACAACAACCAAUUAUAUCAUUUAAGAAAUUAUUUUAUAAAAGUUGUAAAAUAUUUAAACUUUUUUAAAACGAAAAAUUUUGUGAAAGAAAAGUUGCUAUUUAUUUUAAUUUAUGAUAUAAAUUUAUAACACUAAGAUCUUGUGAAAAAAAAAUCAUUUAUAGAUAAAUUAAAAUAAGUAUUUAUUAUUAAAAAUUUGAAUGAUAAUCUAUCAAUUAUUAACCGAAAAAUGUAUUAUGAAUUUUUUUUGAAAUAUUGAAAGUAAUUUUUUGAAAAAAAAAAAUUAAAAUAAGACAAACAUAUAAAAUUUGAGAGUAUAAAAAAUUGUGAGAAGGGUAUGAGUAGUCCUUUCAAUUUUUUUAUAUUUAAUUUGAUAGGUUUUUUUUCCAAAUAUUCCAUUAAUUGUGACUUAAUAAGUUAUUUUAUUGUUAUUUGAAGUAAAAAUAAAAAUCUUAAAAUUAAAAACAAUAAAAAAUUUAAAAAUUAUAAAAAAUAUAAGAAAAGUACGAAAAACAUAAAGAUUCUUUCAAAUUUUAAAGUUUUAAUCUUACACCAUCUAAUAAUCCCGUUUUUACCAUGAAACUUCAUAAUGGUUUUUUCCCAUCGAUCUUCUUAUCUUUCUAGCAUUCCGGUUUGUCCAGAGAGCCUUAUAGAUCCAAUGUAUAUUUUUUUCAUACGAAUUGAGGUAUAAUUAUAAUUAAAUUUAACAUAAAACUAAAAAAUAUAUAAUUAAGUAUAAGGAGUAUGUUGAGAUAUUAUGAUAUAUUCUAGGAAAGUAGAUAUUAUGAUAUAUUCUAGGAAAGUAGAUAUUAUGAUAUAUUCUAGGAAAGUAGUUGCUAUUGUUUAGGAUUGUUUCCUAAACUCACGGUUUUCCCUUAAUUAGGUUUGCUUGAUGUACUAUAUAUUUACUGGAUGAAUAUCAAUUAGGGUGAAGCUUUGACCCUUUAAUCACACUUUACAUGGUAUCAGAGCGCUGACAUGCACACACAAUAAAACAAUGGCCGGCGACGAUGAACAACCACCAUUGCCGCCACCUAAAAGGGAGAUGAAUUCACCUUUUUUGCCCGAACAAUGGAAAGCUCUUGCGGGCUUAAUUGGUAAUGCUCAAGUUCCGGAUGACAGGUUGAAUGGUAAGUUUGACACGAAGUCAUGGAUCAUUGACACCGGGGCAACUCAUCACGUGACCGGUGAUUUAUCUUGGUUAUUUGAUACUAUAGCGUUGUUUGAGUGUCCGGUUGGCCUUCCUAAUGAUGAAUCUGUUGUGGCGACCCAAUCCGGUUCCGUUCGUUUGUCAAAUAACAUCACUCUUCAAAACGUUCUUUAUGUGCCGAAACUCAAUUGCAAUUUACUUUCGGUUUCACAAUUGACUGAUGACUUACAUUGUAUUGUCCAAUUUAACUCUUAUAUGUGUGCUAUACAGGACCACACCAAGGAGCUGAUUGGAACGGGAGUUAGGCGAGAUGGACUUUACUACUUCGGUGGAGCUGAAGGUGAUUCGGUACAACAUCUUUCUGUCCACAACGCAGCAUCCACUUUGGAGUUGUGGCACAAAAGGAUGGGACAUCCUUCAGAGAAAGUAGUGAAGUUACUUCCUCCAGUUAGCAAUCUUAAGGGUAGUUUAAACAAAGCUUGUGAAAUAUGUUUUCGUGCUAAGCAUUCUAGAGACAAAUUUCUUUUAAGUGACAAUAAGGCAACUAGAAUUUUUGAGAAAAUACAUUGUGAUUUGUGGGGCUCUUAUAAACAUGUCUCUUCUUGUGGAGCUUGUUAUUUUUUAACUAUUGUUGAUGAUUUCUCAAGAGCUGUGGAUUUAUUUGUUGGUCGAUAAAACAGAAGUUUUUCGGAUGUUUAUGUCUUUUAUUGCAAUGGUAGAUCGACAAUUUUCUCAAACAGUGAAAGUUGUUCAAAGUGAUAAUGGUACGGAAUUUAAGUGCCUACUUGACUAUUUUUCUGCAACUGGCAUUUUAUUCCAAACUUCUUGUGUGGGAACUCCGCAACAAAAUGGGAGGGUUGAGAGAAAACACAAGCAUAUUUUAAAUGUGGGGCGGGUAUUACGCUUUCAAGCAAAUUUGCCUAUUUAUUUUUGGGGCGAAAGUGUUCUUGCCGCUGCUCAUUUAAUAAACUGCACUCCCUCUCCUUUGUUACACAAUAAAACACCUUUUGAAAUCCUAUUUGGCACCCCUCCUUCAUAUGCGGCAAUUCACACCUUUGGUUGUCUUAGUUUUGCUCAUGAUAAAAAAUCCAAAGGUGACAAAUUUGCAAGUAGAAGUAGAAAAUGUGUGUUUUUGGGUUACUCGUUUGGAAAGAAGGGGUGGAAGUUGUUUGAUUUGGACACCAAGGAAUUAUUUGUUUCUCGUGAUGUCAAGUUUAUUGAGGAUGUUUUUCCAUUUGGUAACUCGGGUGCUGUGAAUAUUAUUCCGGAAAACAUUGUGCCUACGGUAAAUGUUGAAAUUGAUAGUGAUUUUGCUGAUUUUGUCGAUGAUGAUGCUGAUUUGCCUAACCCACAAGCCCAAACACAAAAUCCCAACCUCAUCCAACCUGAACCCCAAGCCCACCAAUAUCAGGUGCCCCAUUUUGAUGCCGAUCUAGAUCUGGGCUUGAGGGAGGGUGGGUCGGCCCACACCGAGGCUUCUUCAUCUACUCUUUCACCUGGGCCGGAAGUUGUUCCCACUGUUGGGCUUGAUUCACUUGGGCUUGACAAUACAAGCAAUGGGCAGUCUGCUCCUAUGGGAAAGGGAAUGAGAGAUAAAUUUCCUUCGGUUCUAUUACGAGAUUUUGUUACUCAUACGGUGGUUGCUGAAAGUCCAUCUCCCGCCACUCCGUCUCCACAGCAUCCCUCAGGUACUCCUUAUCCCAUAGCACAUUAUAUAAAUUGUGACAAUUUUUCUGUACAUUAUCGAAAGUUUCUUGCAGCUAUUAUUUCGAGCAAUGAUCCUAAGUCAUUUAAAGAGGUUAUGAAAGAUGUCGGUUGGCAAAAGUCAAUGCAUGAGGAGAUUCGGGCUUUGGAGGAAAAUGGUACGUGGACUCUUGAACCUCUUCCAAAGGGUAAGCGUGCUUUGGGAAGUCAGUGGGUUUACAGAACCAAGUACUUCUCAAACGAUGAUAUUGAAAGGCUCAAAUCUAGAUUAGUAGUUUUGGGGAAUCAUCAAGAAGCCGGUAUUGAUUAUCAUGAGACAUUUUCUCCAGUUGCCAAAAUGACUACGGUGCGUGCUUUCUUGGCUAUUGCGACUUCGAAAAAUUGGGAACUUCAUCAGAUGGAUGUUCACAAUGCCUUUUUGCAUGGAGAUCUUGAGGAGGAAGUGUAUAUGAAGCUACCCCCAGGAUUUGAGCGUUCCGAUCCGAACUUGGUUUGCAGGUUACGGAAAUCACUUUAUGGGUUGAAACAGGCUCCGAGAUGUUGGUUUGCCAAGUUGGUCACGGCUCUUAAAGGAUAUGGUUUCUUACAAUCCUACUCUGAUUAUUCUCUUUUUACUUACACUAAGGGCAAUGUUCAAAUAAAUGUGCUAGUGUAUGUCGACGAUCUUAUUAUCUCUGGGAAUGAUUCCGCUGCACUUAAGACCUUUAAAGCCUAUCUCAGUGAUUGUUUUAAGAUGAAAGAUCUUGGUGUUUUGAAGUAUUUCCUUGGAAUCGAGGUGGCCAGGAGUUCGGCUGGUUUGUUCUUGUGUCAACGCAAGUACACACUUGACAUUGUAUCGGAGGCCGGAUUACUGGGAGCCAAGCCGUGUGGCUUCCCAAUCGAGCACAAUCACAGAUUAGGACUCGCAAAUGGGAAGCUGUUGUCGAACCCUGAGUCCUAUCGCAGAUUAGUAGGUCGACUCAUUUAUCUGGCAGUGACCCGUCCAGAUUUGGCCUACUCGGUUCAUAUAUUAUCUCAAGUUAUGUAGGAGCCUAGAAUUGAGCAUUGGGAGGCGGCUUUGAGAGUCGUUCGUUAUUUGAAAGGUACUCCGGGUUAGGGUAUCUUGUUACGUGCAGAUAGUGAUCUGUCCCUGCAGGGUUGGUGUGAUUCUGAUUGGGCAGGUUGUCCAGUCACUAGACGCUCUUUGUCUGGAUGGCUUGUGUUUCUUGGACAAUCUCCUAUUUCUUGGAAGACAAAGAAGCAACACACAGUUUCCCGCUCGUCUGCAGAAGCGGAAUACCGAGCUAUGGCAGCAGUUACUUGUGAGCUCAAAUGGUUGAAGGGGUUGCUUCUGAGCUUGGGUGUGCACCACCCAAAGGCAAUCAAGCUCUUUUGUGAUAGUCAGUCAGCCCUUCAUAUGGCCAAAAAUCCAGUAUUUCAUGAACGCACCAAACACAUUGAGGUUGAUUGUCACUUUGUUCGGGAUGCGAUAACAGAUGGUUUGAUUGCUCCGUCAUAUGUUCCUACUAUUACACAAUUGGCGGAUAUUUUUACAAAGGCUCUUGGAAAGAAACAAUUUGAUUAUCUUUUUGCCAAGUUGGGCAUUUUUGAACCUCAUGCUCCAACUUGAGGGAGGGUGUUGAGAUAUUAUGAUAUAUUAUAGGAAAGUAGAUAUUAUGAUAUAUGUUGAGAUAUUAUGAUAUAUUCUAGGAAAGUAGAUAUUAUGAUAUAUUCUAGGAAAGUAGUUGCUAUUGUUUAGGAUUGUUUCCUAAACUCACGGUUUUCCCUUAAUUAGGUUUGCUUGAUGUACUAUAUAUUUACUGGAUGAAUAUCAAUUAGGGUGAAGCUUUGACCCUUUAAUCACACUUUACAGAGUAUCAAAGGUAAAGGAAGAAUAUGUAACAUAAAAUUCUGGCAAAAAUUUAUUCUUGUGCCCUGGUUUUAAAACCAGACUUUUUAACUAUUUUAAGACAAGAAAAUGCUCAUAUCAUUGAAAUAAAACAAGGGAUUUUAUAUCCUAAACAAUUAUUUAAAUAUUUUCCUUCCUAGUAACUUCUAUGUAACGCCAAUAGGAUUUUUUACUAGAUUUAAUUUUAAAAUGGAAAAUGAUGAAACAUUAUUAAACCAGGCACUAUCUAGGAGCAUAUUAAUCAGAUUUUAAAACUAUAAAAGAAGUAAAAUUUAACGGAUUAGCAUUUCUCAAAGGUACGAGUCUCUGCUUUCUGAUUUUAAAUCGCAGAAGGUACAAAAACUCAACUUCUUAAGCAACAAAUUCAAAUUUAGCAAUAAAAACAAUAUAGGUCCCAAUAGUUCAUAGCUCUAAUUUUACAACAAAAACAUAUUAGUUAUGCCAAAAAAAACUUAUUUUAAUGUCGGAUUCUUUUAUUAUUAUUAUUAUGCUAAAGUAGUAGAACCACAAUAAGAGAAUAAUUUAUAAAUUUAUAUUAUAAUUAUUUUUGAAAAAUAUUAUAUUUUAAGAAAUAUAUUCAUAAAAAUUCUUUCAAUGAAAAUUUAAUAAAAAAAAAAAAUACAUGUCAUACUAAUAAAAGCCAUAUUAACAUCCUGUGGACCUCGUAUUUCGGCUCAUUGCGUUUCCCACUCGAUGGUGAGCUCGAUUUUUAUUUUUUAAAAAAAUUGAUUUUAUUGAUUCAAAAAUGCCUUGGAGUCGCCACUUAUUUUUGUUUUAUUUUUUAAAGGGUAAACAAAAUAAGAAAGAAAAACCCUAAGUGUGACUCCUUGUUUUGGAAAAGGUUGGUCUACGAAAAACCGGAUCGGGUUCGGGGGUCAGGUUACUUAUCGGGAAGGUACGGUAAAGACCGUAGCACCCCUCUAAGUCCCUAAAGUCGGGUCUCUACUAAUAAAAUGAAGCAAUUGGGACAAUUGAUGAGAAAAUCAAUGAAUACUCGAAUUGAUCAUGCACAUAUGAGUAUCAAAAUAUGCAUAGAGAAUAACCAAAAUGGAAGUGGAUGCAUACCUGAUCAGCAAACGGCAACGCGCUAUCACAAAAUGGGGUUAGUGCAUAGUAAUGAACAUAAAGUAUAUCACUCAUAUCACCCAACCAGAUAAAGAAGCACCAAUAUCAUGCAUGAUAUUAUUUCAAAUUCACUUUUAUUUUGAUGAAAAUUUAUUUGAUGUGGGGCCCCCACCAAAGCCCGAUUAUUUUUGCAUGAACCAAAUCCGUAAAUUCCAUUAUUCAGAAUUACAAAAUUUGAUUCUUUGCUUAUUUCAAAACAUUUUUAAAACAGGGGAGGUGUGAAAAUGGCUUGCCAGAAAGAAAGUGGCAACCAAUUUUUAUUAAAAAAAAGAUUUCUAGAACCUAAAACACUAAAGGAGAAUGAAGAUUUGAGUUAUUUAGAAACCGGAUUUUAUUUUGAAAGGCAUGGGCUGCAAGGAUGGGCCUGGGAAGGAUAUCCAUGCAAACUGGGAUUGCUUGUCAACCUAAAGUACCCCUGAGUCUAUCCUAUAAGGUGGAUGGGUGCAGUUGCCAUCUUCCUUGAAUGCACCCUCAUGUUAACUUCGCAACCCCCCUCAUCUGAUGUGAAGUUACCAUUGAUAUUCAACAACUUAAAUCCAGGUUCGUUUGCAGUUUCUGUAGUUUCAAAGUCACAAGCUUUUCAACUACUUCAGAAAUUUUCCUCUCAACAGUUCUUUUCGAGCGAAACAGAUGCAUGAUCUAACAAUCUGAUCGAACACAGGAAACCAUUGACAAUCAGAGGCUUGCAUAUAUUCAGCUCGAGAUGACUAUGUGAUCCACCAUCAGUUUCAGCAAAUGUGUCAAGUGCAGCCGGUGUUUCGGAAUUGUCUUCUGCUGUAAUGGAUGAUUAAUUUGCUUCUCUAGCGACUGCUCUAGCUAUCUUUAUAUCAAAUCUUCUUUUUGUGUUCGAUCCAUCCUCUGCAAUGGUGCCUCUUUAUACCAGCUAGUUUAUUAUAGGGCAGAAUGCAUGUGACACGGCUGACUCCGUAUCUUACUUGUAUAUAAUACCCACUAAACCUUCGCCCCGACGUUGUUUGAAAGGUUCAGAUAUUGCAACAUGCAUCCUUCUGACGUUGGGCUGGAACACAAGCUUUCGGUAUAGCACCAAAUAUAACCUCAUCAAAUUCAAGGAGCGCCUUCCAAUUCUUCCUUUCUUUCUUUUGUCUGCAUCCCGUACGUAAGAUCCUGCAGCUAGCUUCCUUGCAUAAACUCUUACAAAAUUAAGGGACCCCCACAAAGGAGUCAUUCAUAAUUUGGAAAGCUUGACCAGCAAAUGGUUCUUCAUCACUCGCAGCUCUUUCAACUGUCACCUCGGGGUUCUCAGGGUCAGUUCUUUUCAUUGCCGGUAGGUUCAAUGGUGAAGGCAAGUAAUUUAUAACUGCAUCAAGUAGUGGAUGAACUCUCUUAUUUUUAAACGCUGAGCCACACAAAAUUGGGACAAAGCUGGCUGAAAUGGUUCCCUUCCUGAUUAAUUUCUUGAUAGUUUCCUCAUCAGACUCAACUCCUUCCAGAUAGCCUUCCAUAGCUUCAUCAUCCAAUACCUCUUCUCUUCACCACUUUAGAGAGAGGAAUGAGAGCUUUAUUGCAAAUCGCAGCCGUUUUCAAUUUCAUUAAUCCAUAUGACGCCCGUUAGUUUGUGGACCUGCCCGUAUUCAAUGAUCCACUGCCUCCACCUCAAAUCAGUAUCUAAUCUCUUGCACUCAAGAGCAUCAUUAGCUGAACGUCUACCAACUCCAACAGGUACAUAAUGAAGUGAGGUUCCGACCCCAGACUGCGAGAAUCGUCCCCUAUAUCCUCAAGCCCUUCGAGCCCUACUCCGGUUCAUGUUCCUUUCUCGGAUAGCCAAAUUCAGUUGAGCUCAGAUGCAACCUCUGGGAAUGAUAAAAUCCUCUAUGAAUAGAUGAUCUCGAGCUGCCAGAAAAUAACUACAACUCAAUCCCAGGUGGCUUUGCUUUGCUGCUUGACAUAGGGUCAAACCCACCUCAACGAUUAGAUUGCCAUGAAUGUUGGAGAUAUGCCUCGCCUUUAAGAACUGGAUAGUGGCUAUGUUGAGCUCAGUUCUGCUCUCGAAAUCUGAGGGAAAUGUAGGGAGAGCCUGGGAGAUUUCACCAAGGAGAGACCACGCACAGUAGGUCUUCAAUCGCAUGUGAAUGAGAAGGAAUUGAGCCGAGAAUGAGGUGGUGGUUAUGGCCAUGCAUAUGAAAUGGGUAUGAAUGGGUUAGUGGGUACGAGGCAACUGAGUUGAAAGAAAGUUAGGAUGGAUGUGGUGGUGAGAACAAUGUGGAAAUCUAGAGAGAGAAAUAGGUUUUGAAGCUGUAGUCAAAUGAGUAUAUGCAGGGGAGAUAUGUGACGUGGGUAUGGCAGAUAAUGGAGAGAAGGUGUUUUAGUGGUAUGGUCAGAUGGGUAUGAACAAACGAAGUGGUGAUAGAAUGAAUAGGAAAGCAUGCAUGUGGUUAGUAUGGGACAUGGGUAUGAAAGGCAGAGUAGAGAGAGAAAAAGUGGUGAGGGAAUAAUGGGCAAGAAAUGGUGGGUUGGAUACAUGGUAUACGGGUUGGAUGGACAUGAGGUAUGGCAGCCACUAGGUUUAACAUCUCCAACUCCCCAUCUCUGGUUCAUGUCUGUCAAUUUCUUCGAGCUUUCCUUGCGUUUCCUCAUAGUGAUAGCCCUAUAGAUUUCACUCGUGUCGGCAUGUAGAGACUUAGGUCUGAGAUUUGCAUGCCCCACGAAGGUCAGUGCAGUAACCUAGGCGUCCUGAACCAUUAACGUUCAUGAGAUGUCCAUUAAUUCCGACGCUGUUUCCGGCCAUGAAAAACCAAAAUCAUAUUCGCGAAUCUGUUCAGCCACGGUUCUGGAGAGGAAAGUAAAUGCUCUUUGCUGGACAAGGAUGGAGUGCACAUUUUUACACAAAGCUCGCGACCAAGGUUUUCUGCGGUUGCUGCGCGUGCACUCUCUAGACGGUUAGCGCAGCUAUAAGCGUUGGACAUGGCGGCAUUUAUCAUAGUGCUUGAGUCCUUCUGAUCAUGCAAGCUUCCUUGACUAUUGAACCUGCUUCAUUUCUCGAAGUUUGGACUGGAGCAGAGGAACCGAGGGAAUGGUCCAGACAUUAGCAUGCAUCGCGGGCAAGCGAGAAACACCAACAGCAAGCAGAACAUAAAGAGCUCCAAAACUAUCAGCACAUAAUACCCAUAGAAUCAUCAUUUCUUCAGGAACUAUUUCAUCAAUAAGUUAGGAACAAGCAAUAUUCUGCCAGGCUCGAUUACUUCCAUAGAAUUUCCAAUUACAUCAUGACCCGUUAAUACCCGUAGUGAUGCAUGACACUGACUUAGAAUCUUGAAGAAGCCGAUAACCCAAAUCCGAUGCUCUAAAAUAAGGUCAUUCAUAAAGAAAGCACGCUGAACACCUCUUCUAUACUCAAAUAGGAUGCAAGACAAAACCAAAGUGGUGUCAUUGAGCCAACUGAGCCUCCUUUGAGCUGGAUCCACUUCCUCACAGCUCUUAUAUUGAUUAAGGCCCAGAAACAGAGCAGAGAAUGGAUGGAGUAUGAAACAUAAAAGAAGAUGAGUAGAAGUGAUUCUCAGAGGUUUCAUUUCAUGAAUCAUCCAUGAACCCUCUGAUUAGGUGAGAAAAUCCAUUUUAAAUACAACAUUGAGGCACAUUCAUAAUAGAAGCAGAGUAUACCAAAAUCAGCAAUGGCAACCGUGAAAGCAAGAUUUCAUCCCAACAAACUAAACAACAUUCAAAAUAUCAACAGCAACUAUGGAGGAGCAAUAAGAAUCAAAAACUAACAAUAAACCUUUUGCUUUCAUACCUGAGAGUGUCGAUGUUCUGUUUAGCUUCAAACGAUCCUCAAGCACUACUCCAAAAUACCUCUGUAAAACGAUCUCCCAACACCUCUUCUCCACUCUCUAAUCUCUUCCUCUAUCCUCUUCCCUCAGGCCAAAAUCUCUCCUGCUCACCCCCCCUCCUCUCUCUGUUUUUCUCACCUUCUCUCUACUCACCCCUGCUCCCUUCAGCUCUCUCACCUAAAAAAAUCUCUAACGGCCUGCUCAGAGAGCUCCUGCAGCUGUCAGCCUCCCCCGACACCCCCAUGCAGCUGGCAGUCCUCAAAAAUAUCUCAUAACUGCCUGAAGAAUCACUUUACAGGUGUCACCACCUGGUUUGCCUCUCAAAUCCACUACUUGAUCCUUCAGCAGCCUGUCAAGAGGCACCACGCGGCCUCCUAAAGCUGCUCCACCUGGCAAAAUUUGCUACAACAAUUACCUCUCUUAUUUAUUAUUUCAUUUAUUCAUAUAUAGUGAAUGGAUAAAAAAUAUCACUCUCAUAUUAUAUUUAUACUAAGUUUAAUUUUUAAUUUUUCUUGUCAUGUGGUUCUAGCUUGUAAUGAUUCCAGCACUUUACUUGAUUAAAUAAAUUUAAUUCUCUUAUAUAUAUAUAUUUCAUAAAAAAAAUUGUAUUUAAUGUUUUAUUCCAAUAUUUUCUUAAUUUUAUUUAUAACUAAUUUUUUUUAUACUUUUAUACUAAAUCUUCAUUAAUUAGAAUCCUUAUAUCAAUAAUAAUAUUUUUAGAUGAUUAGAAAGAAAUAUGAGAUUAAAAUUGAGGGGUUUUUUUGUUUUUUUUUUUGGUGAAGAAAUUGGGGAUUUUUGUUUGGUUAUCUUCAUAGCAUAGGAAAGAAAGAGAAAAUAAAUUUCUUUCGAAUAUUACAAUGGUUUUUAAGGGGUCUUGAGACCGAAAAUGUGCUUUUUAACGGCUCGAAAAUUUCUACAGUUUAGUUGUCAAUUUGGAGACACAUUUGUUGUUUUGUUGUGAGCAUGUUGUAAUAAAAUGUUAUGAGCUUACAGGGGUUUGUGUUGAUUUGCAAAUAUGUCUUGUCUCUAUUUUGUUUGGUAUAAAGUUUAAAUCUUUGAGAGGGAUAGUUUCUGUUCAAGAGAAAGAAGAGUGGUUGUCGGCAAGCAAAAUGCUACUCUGUUUGUGUAGUUCCCG